rnacentral:lncRNA from 1 species
AAUGCCACUCAACACUCACUAAAGCCAGUAAAAGAUGGCAGUGACCCUCAAAAAAAAUUUCCCAAUAAUUGCUUCCAAAUUAAUCACCAAUGAUCUCCAGAUAUUCACAAAAAGAAGUAUCAGAAGUGCCACGUCUGAUGUUCAGAUCAUUUCCACCGAAAGAGUCAAACCUUCACUUCCAACCCGAAAACAUCUUAGAACCUAUAAACUUUCAUUGAUUGAUCAAUUAAGUACUGAUUUUUACAUUCCCCUAGUCUUCUUCUACUCGGCCAGUUGCAAGAACCAAGAUUUCAGAAAAAAAUCCGAUUUACUGAAGCAAUCUCUCGCAAAAACAUUAACCCACUACUACCCUUUUGCUGGAAGAUUGAUUGAUGGCUUUUCGGUCGACUGUAAUGAUCGUGGGGCUGCAUUUAUUGAAGCUAAUGUUGGCUGUGAUAUAUCAAAGUUUCUUCAACCACCAGAUAUGGAGCUGCUACAACAAUUAAUCCCACCUAGUCCCCAAUUAUCGAAUUUAGAGAUUUCUGAAAGAGAACUUUUGGCUGUCCAAGUAAACCUGUUCAACAGCGGUGAAAUGGCAAUUGGUGUUUGUUUUUCUCAUGGAGUGGCCGACGGUUCGGCAUUCUUUAACUUCAUGAAAACCUGGGGUGAAAUCGCUCGUGGGGUGAUUAAUGAUAAUGAUAAUAUUUGCAAUAACAAUAUCGUUUUAGAUUGCACCUCUCUGUUUCCGCCCGUAAAGUUCCCACAACAGUAUCAGAUCCGAAGCCCACAAUCUUCACGCAAGAUUGUGUUCAAAAGAUUGUUGUUCAAUGGAAAGAAGAUAGCAACUCUAAAGGAGAAGGUGAAUAAAGAAUUAAUGGCUGAUAACAAUUCUGACGAUGACGUGUUACAAGCAACUCGUUUCAGGGUUGUUUCAGCACUCAUUUGGGGUGCCUCCAUCGCUAUAGCGCGGGAAAGAAAGAGGACAAUUGAUAAUAAGUUGAACUCUCAUUCAAUGUAUUAUCCUAUGAAUUUGCGUAACAAGGUGAAUCCACCAAUGUUUCCACGGUGCAUGGGUAACAUUGCUCGGCUUGUAAGGGCAGAAUGGUCACUAGCCCAGGAUGAUGCCAUAGAGAUAACAAGUUUAGUAAGAGAAGUGGUAAAAGCCAAGAGAAUGGGAAGAGAUGUGAUGAAUAAUGAUGAGUAUUUAGGUUUCAUUAAGGAUAUGUAUGAAGUACCGGAAGAUUCGAGGUCAUUUCUUUUGACUAGUACGGUUGGAUUGCCUUGUUAUGAAGUUGAUUUUGGUUGGGGGAAGCCUGUUUGGUUUAGUUUCGGGCCCAUAUUGUUUCCUGAUUUUGCUAUUUUAUCAAGCACAAGUGACGGUGAAGGAAUAGAAGCAUUGGUGGUAAUGUCUAAGGAGGACAUGGACAAAUUUGAACAAGAAAUUAGCAUCAUGGCUUAUGCUUCCCCUAACCCUAGCAUAUUUUUAAGGAAGUAAGGAGUUAAUUUUAUUUCUCUUGCUUUGAAUAAAAAGAAUUGUCUUCUAGUUAGAAUAGUAAUAUGCUUACAAAGUUGAGAUUAUUGUACAAUAACUGUAUCUCAUUAUUAUCAUACUUCUCUUUAAAUAAAAUCAUGUUAUGUAUGCAUACUUCGAUCAGCGAAAACUGGAAGAGGACAAAAAAAAGGUGAAAAAAAAAUGUACGUAAUGCUUUCCUUUUUUUCCUUUUAUCAUAUUUUCUGAUUGCAAAGGCAGAAUUAUUGUAUCAUAUUUGGCAUCAAAUUUUAUUAAAGGAUCCUCGUAAGUAGUUAUAUUGGAUAUAUAUAUAUAUAUAUAUAACUCUGAAUAUGCGACAUAAAAUGUCUGUGAUGUCAUGUUGUGAAUGUUGCCAAUAAGAAGAAGUUUCAGUGGCGCAGGGAAGGAUUUCUUAUUAGGGUUUGGAGAUUUGAAUACAAUUUUGAGGAGACAAAAGAAUAGGAUGAAAAGAAAUUGGAGCUCCAUCUAGAAGAGGAGAAAUUGGGCCAUCGACUUCAAAACUCAGGAUGAUGCCAUAGAGAUAACAAGUUUAGUAAGAGAAGUGGUAAAAGCCAAGAGAAUGGGAAGAGAUGUGAUGAAUAAUGAUGAGUAUUUAGGUUUCAUUAAGGAUAUGUAUGAAGUACCGGAAGAUUCGAGGUCAUUUCUUUUGACUAGUACGGUUGGAUUGCCUUGUUAUGAAGUUGAUUUUGGUUGGGGGAAGCCUGUUUGGUUUAGUUUCGGGCCCAUAUUGUUUCCUGAUUUUGCUAUUUUAUCAAGCACAAGUGACGGUGAAGGAAUAGAAGCAUUGGUGGUAAUGUCUAAGGAGGACAUGGACAAAUUUGAACAAGAAAUUAGCAUCAUGGCUUAUGCUUCCCCUAACCCUAGCAUAUUUUUAAGGAAGUAAGGAGUUAAUUUUAUUUCUCUUGCUUUGAAUAAAAAGAAUUGUCUUCUAGUUAGAAUAGUAAUAUGCUUACAAAGUUGAGAUUAUUGUACAAUAACUGUAUCUCAUUAUUAUCAUACUUCUCUUUAAAUAAAAUCAUGUUAUGUAUGCAUACUUCGAUCAGCGAAAACUGGAAGAGGACAAAAAAAAGGUGAAAAAAAAAUGUACGUAAUGCUUUCCUUUUUUUCCUUUUAUCAUAUUUUCUGAUUGCAAAGGCAGAAUUAUUGUAUCAUAUUUGGCAUCAAAUUUUAUUAAAGGAUCCUCGUAAGUAGUUAUAUUGGAUAUAUAUAUAUAUAUAUAUAACUCUGAAUAUGCGACAUAAAAUGUCUGUGAUGUCAUGUUGUGAAUGUUGCCAAUAAGAAGAAGUUUCAGUGGCGCAGGGAAGGAUUUCUUAUUAGGGUUUGGAGAUUUGAAUACAAUUUUGAGGAGACAAAAGAAUAGGAUGAAAAGAAAUUGGAGCUCCAUCUAGAAGAGGAGAAAUUGGGCCAUCGACUUCAAAACUCACUGUGAUAUAUGUAAGCUAAAUUAAUUUUAUGGAUCUCUUAUCAAGUAUGGUAUGGACACACUCAAUAUAAUUUUAUGCGUACGGAAUAUCUAAAGUUCUAAACUCUCAAAAUUCAUUCAAAUGUACAAAUAAGAGAGUGGACUGACUGUGAUUUGGUAAAUAGUCUUUUUUUUACUAUUAUAGGCUUUGAUUAUACUAACCCCCGAAAAUUUGGCUUAAAAUCAUAUAAUAAUUUAAUAUUAUAUAUAAUCAUUCUCAGGUGUGGACGCCCGCAUCUUUUUUAAUGCGGACACACUUUUAAACCGUGCGGUUUAAAAGAGUUAGUUAUUAAAUGAACUAUAAAACCGCAUGAUUUUAAAGAAUUAAAAACUAACUCUCUUAAACCAUGUCGUUUUAAAAUGUAUCCGCAUAAAAAAUAAAUAAGGACGUCUGCACUAGAGAAUGACUAUAUAUAUAUUCGUAAAAAAUUUAUUUAUUAUAGAAAUCUAAAGUCAGCCAUUGCCGAACAAAUCGUUGUAUUGAAUCAAAUCUUCAUGAUAGAUUAAUAAUAUCAAAAUAUAUUUUUUUAGAAAUAAAAAUAAUUUUCAAAAAAAUUAUUUAUAAUAUUUAUUUAGGGAUAGAUUCGGAUUGCUGCUUAUGAAAUAAUUCACUUUUGCUGGUAUUGAUGAGAAAAUCAACUGGACAAAUGCAAAGUUUAAGUGUUUGAUAAAAUAAACUACUGAAGUAUUGUAUGUUUGAAGAACAAAGUGCAUAUGUUUAAUAAUUAUUAUAAACACAUGAUGUCGUCCCUCCAGUUUAAUAGAGUUUUUAAAUCCCACCUACUUCUUGAAAAGUGGUACAUUUUAUAAUUACAAUGGAUAUAGGCAUACGCCUAUGAAAACAAAUAUGAUAACAAAUAUACAGCAAUAAGGAAGUACCUUCAUAAUUAAGCUUCCGUUUGAUUGAAAGGAUGUUGUGAAGCUUGAUUAGUUAAUUCUGUUAUUUCUGUUAUGUGAUGAAGUGGCAUGCUGAGUCAGCUUUUGUGUGGGGCCAGAGUUAGUUAAUUUGUUACUGCUAACAGCUGGACAACAGAGCUAUAUAUGCAGAGCUCAGAGCUGAUCAACUAGAGAGAAAAAGUCACGAUUUUGAGAGACCUAGGGUGAGAGAUAGAAAAUUCUCUGUAGGAGAGAUUUAAUCUCUGUCAUCAAUACUCUCAUUGUAAACACUUGGUUAAAUAAAAGCUUCAAGCCCAGAGGGGUUUCUUUGGUCGUGGAUGUAGGUACUUAGGUACUGAACCACGUUAUAUUGUGUGUGCAUUGUUUCUGGUUCAUCUUCCUUUUACUGUUCUUUGGUUAUUUCUUGUGUUUGAGCUGGUUAGUUUUCUUGAGUAAAGAUUGUUGAUCUUGAAUCGAUUGGGUUCUAUAGCUUAGGUUAUUUGAUUGAUUAGAGUGGUUCUUGAGGAAUUCCACAACAGAUGUCACCGUUAUUUUAUCUGAUUCUAUGAUAACAAAACAUAUAGUAACAAUUGAUGGUUAAUAAUAAAAAGAAAAACGAGUUUACAUUGUUGGGAUCAUCUAAGGUCAUGCACAAGAUCUUAUUACCAGAAAUGAUCGAUUUGUCCACCAUUUUCCAUUCUGAUUGGCUUUUGAGAAGUCCAGGGGUUUCAUAAUAUUAUCUUUCAAUUUUAGUUUAAAAAGUCCAAGUGUUUCAUAUGAUAAUCUUUCAAUUUUAAUUUGAAAUUUACCAAUUAAGCUAUCAAAAUAAGUCAAUUAAAAAAGUGCCAACAUUUUGAAGGUAUGUUCAAAUCGAUUAAAAUGUUUUAUUAUCUUUAAAAGGUUAGUUUUCAAAAAUUUUGCACAUAAGUCCAUUAAAAUGUUUUAUUAUCUUUAAAAGGAUCAAUGGUAACUUAGUAAAUAAACAUAAUUAAGUAUUAAAAAUAUAGAUAGAUUAUUUUAACUUGCUCCACAUCCAUUUACUUAAAAUACCAAUUGGAUUACAAUAUUGUUUUCUUGUGUUUAGUUUAAUGCAGGAUUGGACAAAGUUUAUAUAAAUUUUGACAAUAUCAAAAUGAAAAAUAAAUAAAUAUUAAAUAAGUACUUGAAUGGUAAUUUAAGUUUUAUUAUAGAGUUUAUAAAUGCUAUUUUCAAAAUAAUAGAUUUCUAUAUGCAACUUUUAAAUUAUGUAAAAUUACUCAUACCUCAUCACAUAUAUGGAGGUGAGAUAAUAUUUAGAAAAAUAUAAUCUCAAUUAUUUACUUAACAUGAAAAGAAAUAAAUUGUAUAAUAUUUAUUCUAUUACUUAAAUUUAAAGUUGUAAAGAAUGAAACUUAAAUUUAAAAUUGUAAAGAAUUAAUAAUAACUUAAAUUAAUGGAUUAUGGGAGAAUUAUCUUUCAAAAAAAAAUUUAAGAUUAACUAGCUUUUAAGGCUUCUAACGUAAUCUUUUUUAUCUCGAGUUGUUAACAUAAAAUAAAAAUUUUACUGUAAAAAAAUUAUCCUAGACGUCUCUUUAAGGUAAAAAUAUCAUUAUCACAUGAUAAUUUGGUAGGUCCAAACUGUGUUAUUCUUAAUUUACUUAUUUAUGCUAAACACUAUAAAUUGAUUUUUUUGGUCCUCUACCUAAUCAAAAUUGAAUAUAAAACAUUUUGAAGCCUCUACGUAUAUAUUUAUUUCCUUGUAGGCAUGUACAAUUCAAAUUUCAACAAAAGUAUCAAAAGUUAUUUUUACGGUUUUUUUGUUUAAUUUCACAUCCCAUCCUAUACAUAAAUAUCAAUUAAAUAAUUUUCUUUUCCAAGGUUGGUGCGAGGGGAAAAUGAUCUUGUUCCUAUGACCUUUGCUCUCACUAUAAGGGGGCAAACCAACCCGACUUAUCCCCUGAAAGAUACAAAAGUUAUUUUUUGCUAAUUAAUAUUCUUGUGACGUUAAAAUAAAAAAUAACUAGUAUAUUUAUGGACUAAUCUUAAAUAUUAUGUUACUUUCAUAGAAUAUAUAAGUGUUGAGCAAAUUUUAAUAAACUAAAUAUAUAUGCGCAGCUUUGGGAUUCAUCGAAUUCGCCAACGGAUUUUAUUUUAUUUUAUUCAUUGAUUUCCCUUCUUUCCAUAUACUAAAUAUAUGCUCUUAUAUAAUAAGUAACAAGAAUUAUUAAAUUUGAUAUAUCUCAAUCUGAUCUUUUUGCUACCGGCAUAUUCAGACUUAAUUUUAUUAUUAUUGUCUAUUAUUGAAAUUAUUUAUUUUGGAGCCUGUCAUUCCUGAUAAUAUUAUGUAUUAUCCAUAUUUCUAAUCACCUUCUUUUUUAAUUUCUAUCUUUUUAGUCAAUUUAUUUUGAUUUUCUUUAUUAUCUUGGAGUUCCAUUCUUAUUGCGAGUAAUUAUAUAAUUAUGCAAGAAACUUCGCUUGUUUGUUAAACAUUUGGAAUAUGAAGUUUUAUUAAUUUCAGGUUUUUUUUAAGUUUUGCUUUUUUGUUUUUUUGUAAAUUAUGUUUGAUUUUUAAGAAAUUUGCAUCCGAAUAGAAAAAAAAUAACUUUUGUGACUUUUAUUUAAAUGAAAAAAGGCAUGAAUAAAAAAUAAAUAUUAUAUUCUUAAAAUAUCUCUAAAAAUAUACUUAUUUGCUGAAUUUUAAGAUUUUUUCUAAUUUAUAAGGAAAUAAAUGUCAAAUAACCAUGUUUAAUAUGUUUUUUAUAAGGAAAUAAAUGUCAAAAUGCCACUUAUAUUCAGAUAUAAAAAAAUAAAAAAACAAAUACGUCAUUUUUUUUCUCUUUUUUAAACCAAUACAAAUCAACGUGAUUAAUGUCGAAUGUAUGGAAUUCCAUGAGUAUCCAAAUGAAGAAUGCUUGAUAAACUAGUUGGAAGAUCACUAGGAUUGAAAAAUCGUUGACAAGUCUAAUGGGUACAAGCCCAAUUGGCCAUAAAGUCGGCAGCAAAUGUAGCUUCUCGAAGAACAUGCCCGAUACUAAUGGAUGACCUAGAAGCCAAUGCUCGAACACACCCAAUGAUGUAAGUAAAAUCUCAUCGCACAAAACUACUUGAAAUGGCCCAAGAAACUACAAUGGCUGAAUCAGAUUCUACCUCAAGAUCAGAAAAGCCAAACUAAGCAGCAAGAUCUAAACCUUCUAACAAAGCCAUUAAUUCAGCAAAAAGAAUAGAUUGGUGCCCCAAAAAGGAACCAAAAGCAGCUAAUGUCACACCUUGAUGAUCUCGUAAAACACCACCAGUAGCAGCCAUGCCUAGGUUUCCCUUAGAACAACCAUCCACACUCAACUUCACCACCCCCGGUGGCGGUUUCAUCCAAGAGACCAAUUGAGGUGGUCUACAGGGAGGCAUGAUAAUCCUCAAUCCCUCCCCAAUAUGAGUGUCCAAAAUGCCUCUCAAUUGAGAUGUCUUAAAACCAAAUACAUCACUGACUAGUCUAAUAUCCAGAAGCACUCUAAAAAUAAUAGUGUUCACAUUAAAGGCAACUGAAUCUUACCUGAGAGUGUUUCGAGCCUUUCAAACAUGCCAUAGAAUGAAACAUGGAAGAAUGACUCGAAUAUGUUUAGAAGAACAGCAACACCGUUGCCAGUGACUAAGCAAAGCAUGGGGAGACAAAAAAGGGAGAUACGGACGACCAAUCAUUGAGUAAAAUCGCCGCCAAACCUGUUGAACCUCUGGGCAAUUCAAAAAUAAGUGUCUGACAAUCCCAACAUCUCGAUUACAAAGAUACCGAGAAACCAUAUGAAAACCCCUAGAGCACUAAGCAUCAUCCGUGGCCAAGAAACCAUUCAAUAAACGCCACAAGAAAAAAGAAACCUGCGAAGGAAUAUGUCGUUGCCAAAUUAAAGAAAAAACCUCAUUCUGGCUACGGGACCCAUGUACAAAUUCCCAACUACUCCUUAGACAAAAAUUCUCAUCCCUAGAUAUGGCACAACAGAGUAUAUCUGGCCCAGUACCAGAAAUAGGUACUAACACAAUUUGUUCAACAACUGAUGAUGACAGUACUAAUAAAAGCUUCUUCUUAUCCCAAUCCACACCACACCAAAAAGAAGAUAUAGGGGCCAUAGAAGCUGCUGGAGGAUUAAAAUGAAAGAGAGGUGUAAAUUCAAGCCAGUAAUCAUACCAGAAACUACUAUCACCUGAUCUAACCAACCAACGAAUAUGAACCUCAGCAAAUAUGCCAUUUAAAUAUUUGCAUUCCGACUUAUUCAAAUUUUUUUAAAAAAUAAAUUCAUUUAAAUUUUUUUAAAAAAAAACCUACCUUAUAAUAAAUAUGAUAGAUUAGGCACCACACACAGUAGGCCACUCAACACUCACUUUGGUGAAAAUUUUCUCAAAGCCAGCAAGAGAUGGUAGUGGUUCUCAAAAACAUUUUCCGACCAACUGCUCCCAAAUUGGUCACCAAUAAUGUCCAAAUCAUAAAAAAAAAAAAAGUAUCAAAAGUGUCGCUUCUAAUGUUCAAAUCAUUUCCACCGAAAGAGUCAAAUCUUCAUUUCCAACGGAAAAACAUCUUAGAACCUAUAAACUUUCAUUGAUUGAUCAAAUUUAUUCUGAUGUUUACAUCUCCCUAGUUUUCUUGGCCAAUUGUAACCACCAAGAUUUUAGGGAAAAAAAAAUCCGAUUUGUUGAAGCAAUCUCUCCCAAAAUCAUUAACCCACUAUUAUCGUUUUGUUGGAAAAUUGAUUGAUAGCUUUUCAGUCGAUUGUAAUGACCAAAGGGCUGCAUUUAUUGAAACUAAUGUUGACUGUGUGUUAAAAAGUCAGCUUGUUGGGCACCGAAUUCGGUGCCUACCGAAGAUGAAUUUUCAAGGACAUAAUUUAGACAAUUUCAUCAAUUGGCCAGGUUUUUUCAACGCCUCAAUUUGGCUGGCUGGUGUAAAAUGAUCUCUAUAAAUAUAGAAGCAUUUUGCACUUGUUAGCGUCCCAUAUUUUUUAAAGCAAUUGUAAGUGAAGUAAUUUCAGAGAUUUGAGAAAGUUUUUACUUGAGUAUUUUAUUGAAAAUACAAUUGGCUGUUUUUUCGUUUUGGGUUUUUGGAUUUUAAGAGUUUUUCUCGCUUUUAUAAAUUCUCAUUUAUUAGUGAAAUUAUCUUCCAAUUUUUGUCUAUAGACAUAGACUUUAUGCAUAACCAUGUAAAUUAUUGUGUCCUAUUUUCUUUACAUUUAUUUAUCACUACAAUUAUAUUUAUCCACAAGUCGCGACUACCAUACUCAACCUAUGCUUCUGUAACAAUUGAUAUGAGAGCAUAUGGUCUAUACUUUGGUUAAACGACAUUGUUUACAUAUACAAUAUUGUUCACGUAUAUGGUAUUGUUCACGAAUACAGUGGAGCCAACAGUCUGUACUUGAAGUAUCAAGAGCCUACAAUGUAGUUAUGUGGUUAAAUGGGUGUCUGAGAAAUUUCAAGUGGGACCGUCGAGACCCUCCAUUCUCCUGAGAACUUUCCUGGUACAUUAUCUAUAUAAAUAGACACGUAGAUAUUAUUCAUUCGGGUUAGGUAAUUAAAAAAAAAGGGAUGGCAGAGGCAUCAUCUUCAUAUUUCUCAACAAAGACUAUUGUGACGAAUGCAAAAUUUGAAGUGGAAAAAUUAGAUGGUACUAAUAAUUUUGGCAUGUGGCAAUGUGAGGUGUUAGAUGUCUUAUAUCAGCAAGAGUUGGACCUCAUUCUUGAAGAAAAACCUGACAAGAUAAAUGACAAGAAGUGGAUAAAGAUCAAUAGAUAGGCAACUGGCACUUCUCGCCUAUGUCUGGCUAAAGAUUAGAAAUACUCUAUUAUGUGGCAAAUAUCAGCAAAGAAAUUAUGGCAUAUGCUGGAAGAAAGGUACAUGAAGAAAAGCCUUGAAAAUAGGCUUUAAAUGAAGAAAAAAACUCUAUCGAUUCACGUAUGCACCUGACAUGUUGAUAAAUGACCAUGUAAACUCAUUUAAUAGGAUAUUAAUGGAUUUGCUAAAUCUGGAUGAGAAAUUUAAAGAUAAAGAAAAGUCAUUGUUGCUAUUAAAUUCCUUUCCUAAUGAAUAUGAUCAUCUCACCACCACUUUGCUUCAUGGGAAGAACAAUGUCACAAUCAAUGUUGUAUGCAGUGCGUUGCAUAACUAUGAGACAAAAAAAAAGACAGAAAAGAUCACAAUGAUACAGCUAUAAAGGCAUUGACAACAAGAGGUCGUUCACAAAGUCGCAAACCUUCUAAAAGAAAGUUUUUGCAUGUUCAAGCAAAUUAGUUCAACAUUAGCGACAUGACAAUUGGUAUUUGUAUAUGGCACGGAUUGGCAAAUGAUUCAACAAUUUCUAUCAUCAUGAAAUUGUGAACUAAGAUCAAUCUGGGAUAAAUAAAAAUAUUUGCAAUAACGUCGUUUUACAUUGCAUCUUUUUGUUUCCAUCGCAUAAUUCAUUAAAGGAUCAGCAUAUAAAGCCACAAUUAACAUCUAAAGUAGUGAUCAAAAGGUUGUUUUCUGAUGGCAAGAACAUAGCAGUUCUAAAAGAGAAGAUGAAAAAAGAAAUAAUGACAGGCUAUUUUGAUAAUGAGUUACAAGCGUCACAUUUCAUGGUUGUUUUAUCACUCAUUUAGGGUGCUUUCAUUACUAUUGCUCGAGAAAGAAAAACAGCAAUUAAUAGCAAGGCUCAUAGCUAAGGGUUACACCCAAACCUAUGGGAUAGAUUACACUGAUACGUUUACACCGGUAGCAAAAAUUAAUAUUAUUCGUAUCUUAUUAUCAUUAGCAGCCAACUUAGAUUGGCCAGUACAACAGUUCGAUGUAAAGAAUGCUUUCCUCCAUGGAGACCUAUCUGAAGAAAUUUAUAUGGAUCUGCCACCAGGAUGCAGUGGACCAGAGCGACUCAAUCAAAAACUAUGCCAAUUGAAGAAAUCAUUGUACGGAUUGAAGCAAUCCCCAAGAGCAUGGUUCAUGAAAUUCACAAAGGCCAUGGUUCUUUUUGGGUAUAACCAAAGCAAUUCAGAUCAUAUCUUGUUCAUUAAAAAACGACAAAGUAAAAUCACUGCCCUUAUUGUCUAUGUGGAUGAUAUGGUAGUUACACACAACGACGAGGAAGAAAGAAAGGCUCUUCAGAAGUAUUUGUCAAGAGAGUUUGAGAUGAAGGAUUUAGGAGCCUUAAAAUACUUUCUUGGAAUUGAGGUUUCUCGAUCUAAGGAAGGAAUCUUCCUGUCUCAAAGGAAAUAUGCCUUAGAUCUGUUGUACGAAACGGGAAUGACAGUUUGUCAGCCUAUUAACACCCCAAUAGAAGAAAGACUGAAGUUUUGUAUUACCUCAUACCAAGUUCCAGUUGACAAAGGAAGAUAUCAAAGGUUAAUUGGAAGAUUGAUGUACUUGUCCCACACAAGGCCAGAUCUUGCUUAUGCAUUGAGUGUGGUAAGUCAGUUUAUGCAUAAUCCCAGAGAACAACAUAUGAAAGCAGUAAUGCGGAUUCUGAGGUACCUAAAGUCAAAUCCAGGAAAAGGAAUCAUAUUUUCCAAAAAUGAAGAUUAUAGCAAUAUAGAACUUUAUACUAAUGCAGAUUGGGUCGGGUCAGCUAGUGAUAGACGCUCUACCUCAGGAUAUUUUACCUUCGUAGGCGACAACUUUGUCACGUGGAGAAGCAAGAAACAACAUGUCGUUGCCCGUUCGAGCACUAAAGCCGAAUAUCGAGGCAUGGCCCUUGGGGUAUGUGAAGGGCUAUGGAUAGGCUUUAUCUUAAAAGAUUUGGGCUAUCCAUCACAACAACCAAUACAAUUAUACUGUGACAACAAAGCUGCCCGAGAUAUUGCUCAUAACCCAGUUCAACACGAUCGAACAAAAUAUGUCGAGGUAGAUAGAUUUUUCAUCAAGGAGAAAUUAGAUGAAAAACUCUUAGAACUGCCGAAAAUUUGAUCAGAAGAUCAACUUGCAGAUAUUUUAACGAAGGCCAUUUCAAGCAGAGCAUUUACAAAAUUCCUAGACAAGCUAGGUAUACAAGACAUCUAUGCACUAGCUUGACGGGGAGUGUUGAGAAUGUCAAAUAAAACGGCAUUGAAGGAAGUUUUCAAAGGCAUAAUCCGCACUUGUCAAAGGCAAGAUCCGCACUUGUCAAAGACACGAUCCGCGCCGAACGGAUCAACACAUUUUCUUCCGUAAUCACUUAUGUAAUCUUUGAAAAAAAUGUAGCCUCUGCAUCUAUAAAUAACGCUUAGUGUAUAAUGUUUUAUUAAAAAAAUGAAAACGAAGUUUCUUCAAAUGCAACAAUUAAUCCCACCAAGCCCACAAUCAUUGAGAUUAGAGGCUUUUGAAAGAGCGCUUUUGGCUGUUCAAGUAAAUUAUUUCAGUACCGGCGACGUGGCAAUUGGUAUUUGUAUAUGGCAUGGAUUGGCAGAUGGUUCAGCAAUCUCCAACUUCAUGAAAUUGUGGGCUGAGAUCAAUCGUGGAGUAAAUGAAAAUAUUUGCAAUAACGUCGUUUUAGAUUGCAGCUCUUUUUUUCCUCCGCACAGUUCACUAAAGGAUCAGCACAUAAAGCCACAGUUAACAUCUAAAGUUGUGUUCAAAAGCUUGUUUUUUGAUGGCAAGAAGAUAGUGGCUCUAAAAGAGAAGGUGAACAAAGAAAUAAUGGUGGGCAGUUUUGAUCAUGAGUUACAAGCAUCGCGUUUCAUGGUUGUUUCAUCACUCAUUUGGGGUGCUUUCAUCGCUGUGCCUCGAGAAAGAAAGAGGGCAAUUAAUAACAAGUUGUAUUCUCAUGCAAUGUAUUAUACUAUGAAUUUGCGGAGCAAGAUGAAUCCACCAAUGAUUCCACAGUGCAUGGGUGACAUUUUUCGGUUUGUAAGGGCAGAAUGGUCACUAGCCGAGGAUGAUGACAUAGAGGCAACAAGCUAAAGCUUAGUGAAAAACGUGAUCAAAGCAAAGAGAAAUGUAAGCAAUGUGAUGAAUAAUAUUGAGUACUUAGGAUUCAUGAAGGAUAUGAAUGAAGCAUGGGAAGACUCAAGAUCAUGAACUUUAACUAGUGUGGUUGGAUUGCGUUAUUAUGAAGCUGAUUUUGGUGGGGGAAAGCCUGUUUGGCUUAGUAUCGGGUCGAUGUCGUUACCUAAUUCUGCUCUUUUAUCAGAUACAAGUGAUGGUGAAGGAGUAGAAGCAUCGGUGAUUUAUACGAGGAAGACAUGGACAAAUUUGAAAAAAAAGGCUAGCAUCAUGGCUCAUGCUUCCUCUAAUCCAAGCAUACUUAUAGCAAAGUGGCAAAGUGACGAUAUUUAUCUUGUUUUGAAUUUAAAAGAGUGGUUAGUUAAUUGUAUUAAUUUCUCUUUGUUUCUUUAUGAUUUUAAUUAUCUUAUAAUCUUCACUCAAAUGCUACUGCAUGUAACUAGCUAAAUGGUUAUAUAAGCCACGAAGUGAUGAUGAAUAAGGGAUAUCAUUUAUCUUCAAUAUGAAUUUAGAUCUAGUGCUAAAUGUUUUAUAAAAUUAAGAUUUAAUUACAUAUUAUUUCUUAGUCAAUUUCUUAUUCAAUGAUUACCACUCAUUGAAUCCAAAUCCUUUGUAUAUAAUCUCUAACAAUUGUGUUGUUUCAUGGUUAAUUAAAGUUUACAAUUUAUUAAGUGAUCAUGAAUACUGAUAUUUAUGUACGAGAAUUUUUCAGUAUGGCGACAAAAUCAACGUUGACAGCGGUUACCAUCAUGAAAAAAUAUGUUAAAAUCAUAUGAAUUUUCGAUAGUUAAAAAUAAUUAAAAAAAUACGUUAAGACCAUAUAAUUUUAUCACUGUUUUUGACACCAUUCUAAAACACUCUGGAUAUAUUUUUUCAUUGAUCAAUAAGAUCACCUACCUACUAAUAUCUAUAAAAACAAUCAAACCGUUAUUUGCUUCCUCACACUUCUUAUUGUACUCUUCUUACGCAAAAAGUCUGAAUGCAUUGGUUUUGAGCCAUUUCCCUCUCCCCUGUGCCUUUAAAAAGAUAAUUUCUAUUUAUCCCCUGCCUUCUGUCUCAUGAAUCCCCACUUUCAUUCACUUGUUAGAGAAAUUUGCAAAUGGGUAUAGAAAAAUAUCAAGAGGGAGCAUAAAAUAAAUCACAUACCAUACAACAUAGAGAUACAACAAUUUAAUGUGAUUUAUCUUGAAUUGGGCUGCAUACUGAUAAUUAAUAAAUUAAUUUGAAAUUCUCUUAAAUAAAUAACAAAUAAUAUAAUAAAUUACAAAAUGUUCUUUAUUAUUUUAAUUGACUCCACUAAAUAUUUUCAUUAUCAAACAAUUUUUAAAAAAGAAAUUACGAAGAAUUACAUCUUGAAGACCUCAGGUCCAACUAUAUUAUUUGGAAGUUAAAAUUGAAGUUAAGAAGCAUUACUCUUGCUAGCAAUGGCACCAUUCAUGGAGGGAGUUUCUGUUCCAAUGACUUUAUUUGAAAGUUGAAAUUGAAGCCAAGCAUCUAAAAUUUUGAUUUUGAAAUCUCUGAAGACUAGAUAACAAGUUUCAUAAUCAUUAAUCUUUAAUCAUAUUGUCCUUUUUAGAAGAGUCCAAAAUUUUAUUUCAAAUUUCAUCUCAAAUAAUAUGGUAUAUAAUGUGUUAUUUAUUAAGUGGUUGAUUAUUUUUUAUAAAAUCUAAGUGGCUAAAUAGACCAAUCACAUUAUCCCCAAACGAGCAACAUAGAUUAAUUAAAUAAUAUUAUAAACUAUUAUUUACUUAAAGGCUUGGAAGGGGAUAAGAAAUCAUGUUUCACCCUCUAAAUACCAACCUUUCUCCCUAUUAUUAUUCAAAAUCCGGCGAUGACGGAUACAAACCGUAUUCACAACCAACCUAACUAUGUCCAAUAGACUAAUUAAUCUUAUCCUUAAGCUGACCCUGUGAAAUUAGUUACUAAUUUCUAUUUAACUUGAAUUGUUUUAUAUGAUAUUCUAUCAUACCUUUCGACGAAGCAUCCCCGCCAUAUCUUUUACUAAAGUUUAAAUUUAAUGGAGAAAAAAUGAGAAAUGGAUUCUUCAAAUCAAAUAUUUAUGACAUUGAACUUUUAAAUCCAAUAUAAAAACAAAUUCGUAAUCACCUAUUCUCCUCACAAGGCAGAGAAAAAAUUCAUGAGCUCUUGACUUGCUCCAUCUUUUCUCUAGAGUACAUAAAAUUCUAGCAAAGAUUUACAAAAUAGACAUGGUAAGAACUAUUGUCAUUUGCUCUACCAAAUUUCACUACAGAUAAAUGUGCCUUACUUGGAGCAAAAAUUCCAUUGAUCUCAACAAAAAUUUCCAAUGUUGCGAGAAGCAAUAAAUUUAUUUGAGAAAUCAUGCCAUUACCGAAUUAGCGAUGUAGCAGAUUUCACUUCCAUGGAAAGUCUAGCAAAUUUUUUUGUUGCCUGGUGCUCAAAUGCUAAUCGAUUCUCUUCACUGUCGUCCAGGCCAUUGGAAACGAAUCAAACGAUGGAUGGUGGGUGAGAUUGAUUCUCUUCACUACAAAAGCUGCUCUAAUGGAAACUUGAAUUGUCAAACAUUUUUAAUAAUAGCAGAUAUAUAUUUGACUUCUAAGUUGUGUGUUAAGUAUUUAGGAGUAUCUAUAACAAUCCAUUGGUUUUGAGUGAGAUGAAUAUAUUUUUUGUGCUAGUAUCAACAUGUACUUGUUUUGAAUAAAAGAGCUGUUAAUUUGUUAAUUAUAUUUCUUCUCUCUUGUUUCUUUUCUUGAUUUUUCCGAUUGAUUCUUAGAAUGUUAAAUAAAAAUAACAUUUCUAUUAUAUUAAUAUGGACGUAGGAAUUCUUAAAUAAUUUCUUUGUGAAACAUUAAUUUUUUUAAUUUAGUUUAUUACUUAUAAAGUUAGGCGUAAAUAAAGUAUAAAUUGAUUUUUUAGCCCUCUACCUAACUCAGAAUUUGAAUAUAAGAAAUUUCUCUCCUUGUAUAUAAUUCCAAUUUUAGCAAAAGUAUCAAAAGUCAAUUUUAUGACUUUUUUGUUUAAUUGAAAAAUUAUCCAUCGUCCACCUGUUUUUUCUAACUUUUUCAAAAAUACACAAUUCUUUUUUUUUUUACUGGAAUCCACCUGAAGUUACAUUUCUUUUCACUUUUCCACUUCUGUUUGGAGACCGUGAAGAAAAUUAAUGGAAUAUUGUGUAAAUAACUUUUUACCCUCAAAUGCAAAAAAUAAAUUAUCCACCGACCACCUGUUUUUUUCAUAUUUUUUCAAAAAUAUACAAUUCUUUAUUUAUUUAUUUAUUUUUGCUGAACUUCACUUGAAGUUAUAUUGUUUUACACCUUUCCACCACUGUGUCAUUGUGAAAUGACAAUUUUACCCUUAUGAUGUCAGCAAAGUUCUACCGGUGUUAUAACGAGAGUAGACCGAUGAAAAAAAUGUUAAUUUCAGGUGGAGUGCUACAAAAAAAAAAUUGUGUAUUUUUGAAAAAUGGUGAAAAACAGGUGGACGAUGGAUAAUUUCUCUUAUUUUUAAUUUCACAUCUUAUCAUAUAUAUAAACACUAAUUAAAUAACUUCAUUUUCCAGGGUUGGGUUUGAAGGGAAAUUGAUCAUGUGACCUCCUUGUUUUACUACAAGUGGCAAAACAACUCGACUUAUCCCCUAAGAGAUAUGAGAGUUAUUUUCAUUGAUUAAGAUUCUUAUGACAUUAAAAAAAAAUAACUAGUAUAUUUAUGGACAAGUCUUAAAUAUUUGUUUUACUUUACUAGAAUUUUAAGUGUUGUGAAAAUUUUAGUAAACAAGAUAUAUACAUGAACAGCAAAAGUAUCAAAAGUAAACAAAAUUUACCUAUGGAUUUUCUUCACUUUCUUUAUUAAUUACCCAUCUUUCCAUAUAUGUUCUUAUGUAACAAGUAACAAGAAUUAUUAUAAUUUGAUAUAUCUUAAUAGAUCUUUGUAACGACUCUCCCUGAAUUCCAGAGAGAAUCCGAGGGGGGUUCUCGAGAUGCAAUUUACAACUAAAGCAUGGCAGAAGCAUUCAAACUAAUAAACUUUAAAAUAUUUCUACAAUAUAUAAAAUUUUGUUCUUAAAUAGUGGAAAAAUGUAAAAUUUGCCAAACUAUUUAUCAUCCUUAAUUUAGAUUUUCUCCUCACUUAACAUGAAUCAAUCUUGAUCUAUGGAAAUUACAAUAAACUUUAAUGAGUACAAGAAUUAGUAAAGAAAGCAAUUUUUCAUAUACCAGAGUACAUACACACUUAUAUGUCAUACAAAUGCACGAUAUGCAAUGCUCUUUGAAAAACAUCGUAAAAGAAGUUCUUCAAAACUUGGGGUCACUUUCAAAACAUUUCCUUUCAAAUCACUUACUUGAACUAUCUUCAUUCAAUUACCACUUAUUAUAACUCUCACUUAACAUUCAUAGUUUCACAUAAUACUUAUUUUGGGCUUUACACAAGCAUCAUUCACCCACUUAUCUCUUAAAAUAAUAUAUAGAGUGCAUACUAAGAGAGUGGUGAAUUCAAACACCCAAGGAAAAAAGAAAAUUUACCUACUUUCUUUGAAAUCAGCGUGCUAAAACUCACUUUCGCAUUUUAAUAGAAAAUGAAAUGUAUAUGCCAAUACACCUUCUCACACACAUGCACGCACGCACUCAUGCACAAAUACGCACACAUGCAUGUACGCCCGUGCACACGCACACACACAUACGUACGCACACUCAAACACCGACACAUACACACACAAAUAGGCAUACGUGUGCAAAAACGCAUGCAAGUGUGCACGCGCGCACACCGAGAGACACACAAACAAACACACACGUCUAAGUGCACAUGCACUGUAACAUAUGUGAGAAAAAAAAGUGAGGCAGUUAAAAGGUAAAUAAAAAUAAAAGAAGAAUCGGAAACAAGGGAACACAUACACACGUGUGAGAGAGUGAGAAAAGCUGCAAACUGAGCUAAAACUAGACUCGACCUCGCGAACAUGACCCAACCGAAUCUCAUAAUUUCGACCACCCCACCAGCUAAGCUUAGUACCAAUCUGAAGCUUGAAGACCGGUCGUCGUAUCCCAGCCAUCAUCGUCGCCGAUUAAAGACCAUAACGCCGGCGUUUUAGCUCAAUAAGCGGCGGUAAAACCCACCCCUUCUCACCAUUGAUUUCACUUGUUUGGGGUGACACCACCGGUUGGGUUUUGUUCCCACAACUCCCUUUUGAUUUUUCCACUAUCCACAGCCACCGAAAGCCGUCGAUUUAUCAUGGAUCAGGCGUUGAAGUUACACGACUGUCGAGCUAGAUUCCAGCAUUGUCGCCACACAUGGGAGCUCAUCGCUGAUACCAUUGACUCAGCUCAACUAGAAAUAUCUAACCCAAGCUUUCCAAUCACCUUUGCUUGAAUUUCGGUCACCGUUGCCAGCGAGGGUAAUACGAUAAUUUCACAAUUUGAGGGCAAUUUGUAAUUUCUGACCAUGUAGAGAUUUUAGUAAUUUUUGAAAUUAAGGAUUGGUUGUAAUUAUGAUUCCAAGGGUAAUUCGAUGAUUUUCAAUUCCAGAUUAUUCUAAUGAUGUAUGGAUUCGAUGGUAUUUUAAUAAUUUUAUCGACACGAGAGUUGUAUAUUAUGGACAAAUGUUCAUUUCGAGUUUAUUGCAUAAAUUUAGUCCUAAUUUUGAUUUAUGGAAAUUAAUUAUGUCGUUUCAUUGAUUUAGGAGGAUCUGCGAGCAAGAACCAAUCUACGGACGUGGGCAAUAACCGAGUCUAAACAUCAUCACUGUAAGUGGAAUAUACAAAACCUAUAUUCUUUAUAAUUUAUUAUGAUUUUAAAAUAUGGUAAAGCAAGUUUAUGAGAUAAGUUUUAAAGGUUCUGAUUUAAUCAUUUUUUAAAAAAUGGAUUUUACCUAUGUAUUGGUGUUUAUUAUUAAAGAUGUGUAUGACUAAUAAUUUUAUUGCCGAUUUUGAAUAUAUGCACGAUAAUAUUUUAAAGAAAAGGAAUUAGAUUUAAAGUAUGUUAAAUGAAAAGAAAAUGAGAUUUCAGAUGUGAUUAUAUGUUUAUAUAUAUGUGUAUAAAAGGUUGUUUACCAAAUCAUUGGACAAUACCCUUCUUUGGUUACAGUGACACAAAUAUGAUGAGGCCUUUGGGACCCGUCCAAGUACACACAGAGGUUUUGGGCCGUGUGCUUAAGUGCUUUUGUCCUUUGGGGACUAGAUUAUGCAUGCAUAGAUAUGAUGAGAUAUAAAAUGGCACUUCCCUAUCUAUCCGUGUAGCUCUGGGCCAUGACAGUACCUAGGUAGUACAUUAUUGCUCGUCCAUUGAGGUCUGAAUACAACGAAAUUAUUCCCCUAGGUACUUGCUUAGUGAUGAUUUCAAAUUUGUGUAUUAUACAUGAUCUUGUGAUAUGCUUUUCCAUAGUUAUUACGUACGAUAUUAUAUAUGUUCUUCAAGGUUAGUAAUCUAAUUUAGAUGUUAAAUGAUUUAUUAGUGGUUUCUCGCAUACGAUUUGAUGAAACCGUGCUUGGAAAUGAUGUGAUUAUUUCUUUUAAAGUAAAAAUGUAUUUUAAAAAAUUAAUAUCCACUCACUGAGCUCACUGAGUUUUAUACUCAUCCCGUUUUAUUAUAUUCUCCCUCUCCCCCCAAUAGGAAGUUGCAGGUAUACCAAAUCGGCCCAGCGAGUGUAGAUAUAUUUUGAAUCUCAGUCAUGUGAUGGUGUUAGAAGAUAUAGAUGAUUUUUGUUAGGAUAUCCUGAUCAUCUAAUUUUUUUGGGAUUGUAUAAUUUUAUUGUAUUAUUCUUUUGGGAUUAAGAAUAAACUAAUAUAUAUUAAGAUUAGUUAUAAUAUAAUCUUUUGACACCCUGGAGAUAUCUUAUGUAAAAAUUUAGUAUUUUGGUUGAGAAUGAUAAUCAUUGGAGUUGGUUGUAUAUUGAAUUCUUUUGGAAGUGCUCUUUUUCUAUAGUUGCAUAUUAAGAGUGUUAUAUUUAUAAAGAAGAAUUUGCCGAAUUUUCAGCAGAAUUCUUACUAAUUAGAUUAUUAUCUAUCUAGUUUUAAUGAGAUUAGAUAGACUCGCCCUGAGGGUUCAGAGCAGGUCGUUUCAGGUAGUAUCAUAGCGUGAUUUUAGAUUUUGUAGACUUUACUAUAUUAGUAAGAAUAAGUUUUAUUGUUAUUAAAGUAAGAAUUGAUAUUUUGUAGGCACCAUCGUGCUUUGUUGUAGCAGUAGAUGGGGUCGUGGCUGUGGCCGUACUAGGCCAGUAUCUGGGUUGACUUCUGGUAGUGUACCUGUAGAGGAAAGUGAACGUAUAAAUGGGGGAGUAGUUGAAUCCUCCACGCAUGAAAGAGCACAACAGGCACCAGGGAAUGUUCCAAAUAUUGAACAAUCAUUUGAUAGGCUGGCUCAAAUCAUGACUACAGUGGUGCAAAAUCAGACUCAAGCACAUACCGAUAACGCAAACACUAUUGAAUGUGUGAGGAGUUUAGGGGCUAAAAGCUUUAAUGGUUCUAGAGAACCACCUGACAUUGAGUCAUAGUUUGUUAAGUUAGAGCGUAUUUUUGACGUGAUGAAGUGUUCAGAGCAUGACAUGCCAACCUUUGCCAUUUUCCUACUCGAGUAUAGAGCUUACCAUUGGUGGCAGAUAGCAGAGAAAUUAUAGUAAGGGCAUGUUGCGAUUACUUGGGCCAAAUUCUGUAAGGAAUUCUAUGAUCAUUAUUUCCCAACUGUGUAUCAAGAUAUUAAGCGAAGUGAAUUCCUUUAGUUGGUUUAUGGAUCCAUGAUAGUUGAGGAGUAUGAGAAGAAAUUUUUCGACCUCUCCAGAUUUACUACAUUUGUAGUCGGUGAUGAAAAAAAGAGAUGCAGAUUGUUUGAGGAGUGUCUCUAAUUUGAUAUUUGCACCACCGUGACUACAUCACGAUACACUGAGUUUGGAGAGGUGCUUGAGGUAGUCAGGAGAGUAGAACAUAAUAUUUCAGAGGGACGCAGAGUUCAAGCACUGAAGCAGAAGUGUAGUCAGAGCUAGGCAGAGGAUGGCUCUAAUAGCAAGUUACCUAAAAAAGGGGGUAUUCUUACAAUUUACUUUGAUAUCAUACAAAAGAGUCAGGGUAAAGGCUUUAGGGGAGACCCAAGACAGGAUGUCAGUUAUAGCUCAGUGCAGCCAUCAGUGAGGAGUAAUACCAGAAAUCAAGGACAAUACAACCGCAGUGGUGGAGGACAUCGUGAUGAUCGUCCUAAGAGUACCCAACAGACUUCUUGCUCUUCGUGUGGCAGGAACUAUCAGGGCCAGUGUCGCGUUGGAGACAAAGUUUAUUAUCUAUGUGGUCAGCCUAGACACAUCAGAAGAUUCUAGUCUACCUUGUCUUAAGGUGAAAAUUCUACAAGAGAGACAACCCUACGGUAUCGACCUCACUCUGGCCAGACUCAUGGUCACAGAGGAGUACAGACGGGAGGUUCUACGUCUACUUUGAGGAGUCUGACGAUUCCUCCAGGUCAGAGAGGUCAGCCUAGUCGACUUCAUACUUAGGCACGAGUUUUUGCUUUGACACAACAAGAGGCAUGUGCUGCAUCAGAAGUUAUUAUGGGUAUAUUAUCUAUCAUUGGUCGUGAGGCCUAUAUUCUUAUUGAUCCUGGAUCCAUACAUUCUUUGUUUCCUAUAGUUUUGUUAUACAUUUAGGGCGAGAUCCCGAGCCACUAGAUUGUGGCUUAGUUGUUCGCACACCUACUAGAGAGUCAUUACUUGAUGAGAGUGUAUAUUAUGAUUGUAUGAUUAUAAUAGGUAAGCAUGAAUUUGAGGCGAAUUUGAUGUCUUUAGACAUUCAUGACUUCGAUGCUAUUUUGUUCAUGGAUUGGCUUGAAUUUCAUUAUGCUACGGUGGAUUGUUUCAAAAAUGAAGUUGUGUUUAAAAAGUCAGGGAAUGCUAAGUUGAAAUUUUGUGGGAGCGUAGAGUUCUACCCUCAUGUGUCAUAUCUACCAUUAGUGCAAGACAGUUGUGAAGAAAAGGGUGUUCUGCUUAUUUAGCUCAUGUGAUAGACACAGAAGUUUGAGAAUUGAGAUCGAAGGAUAUUGCCAUAGUUAAAGAAUUUCAAGAUGUAUUUUCAAAUGAAUUUCCUGGGAUGCCACCUAACAGCAAGGUUGAGUUUUGUAUUGAUUUAGUCCUUAGAACAUCUCUUAUAUUUAUAGCAUCAUACAAGAUGGCUUCAGCAGAAUUGAAAGAACUGAAAGUUCAACUGCAAUAGUUGGUAGAUAAAAGGUUUAUUCGACCUACUGUAUCCCUAUGGGGAGCAUGCUUGGUAAUUUAGCCCAACCAUAUUUUUGGCCUGAUUGACCCGACCCUAAUUUUUAGGGCUUUGACCCGAAUUUUUGAGGUUAGGGUCGGGUUAGGAUCAAAAUUUUAAGGCCCGAACAAAUUUCGGGUCAGGAUCGGGCUUAUAGCUGACCCGACCCUAUUAUAAAAAAAAACUAAAUUGUGUGUUUUUAUGAGUUUUUAUGAAUUAUGGGUUUUUAUUUGUAUAAGACAUCAGUUUUUUAUUUGUAUAAGACAAUGUUUUUUUAAUGUUAGGUUGUGGAACUAAAUUGUGUUUUUAUUUGUAUAAGACAUGAGUUUUUUAUUUUUUAUUUUUUAUGUUGGGUUGUUAAAUUGAAUUGUGUAUGGCUAAAAUGGUUGUGGAAUUACAUUGUGUGUUUUUACUUUAAUUGUAUUGUGUGUUUUUAUGUUGCAUUUUAAAAUUGAUUUGUGUGUGGGGUUGAAAUAGCUGUGAAAAUUGGAAUUGAAUUGUGUUUGAAAUGGUUGAGGAAUUGCCAAAUUGGUUGAAAUAGUGGUGGGAAAUAGGAGGGUUAACUAUUUCGGUAGGGUCGGGUUGGGCCCAACCCAAUGUUGACCUGAUUCGAGUCCAACCCUAACUAAAUAGUGUUCGAGUUUCAAUUUUUUUUUUAUCGGGUCGGGUAGGGCUUGGCCAAGCCCGAGCCCGUCCCAACCUUUUGCCAUUCCUAAAUUGGACUUUAGGACUUUACGUCGACUACAAACAGUUGAUUAAAGUUACGGUAUGCAAUAAGUAUCCAUUUCCACACAUCGAUGACUUGUUUGAUCAACUCCAAAGGGCAAAAGUAUUUUCUAAGAUCAAUUUGUGCUCGAGGUAUCAUCAGCUUAGAAUUAAAGAGGCAGAUGUUCCUAAAACAGCAUUUAUAACCCAUUAUGGACACUAUGAAUUCUUAGUGAUGCCAUUCGGGUUGACAAAUACUCCAGCAGCUUUUAUGGAUCUCAUGUAUAGGGUAUUUCACUCAUAUCUAGAUCGGGUUAUAAUUGUAUUCAUUAAUGAUAUCUUGGUGUAUUCCUGAAGCGAUGAGGAGCAUACAGAGCAUUUGCAGACUGUUUUGCAAGCUUUAAGGCACAAACAAUUGUAUGUUAAGUUCAGUAAGUCUGAGUUCUAGUUGGACAGAGUAGUAUUUAUGGGCCAUGUGAUAUCAGCGGAAAGCAUUUAUGUUAAUCCUCAAAAGAUUAAAGCAGUUGUGAAAUAGGGGCGGCCUAAAAAUGUCAUAGAGGUUAAAAGUUUCUUGGGAUUGGCUGGCUACUAUCGUAGAUUUAUGGAAGGAUUCUCUAAGAUUGCUUCUCUGUUGACACGGUUAAUCAAAAAGAACUCGAACUUGUAAAUAUGUAAAAUAAAUACUAUCUAAAUAAAUCAAUAUACAACCAACUCCAAAGAUCAACAUUCUCAGCCAAGAUGUUGAAUUAUUACCCCAAGAUAUCUCUAGAAUAUCAAAUAUUAUAUUAUAACUAAUAUUAAUAUAGAAAUUUAUAUUUACAUUCGCUGGGUCGAUCUGAUGUACCUGAUAUUAAGGAUCUUAAAGAAGAAAUUAUGGAAGAAGCUUAUUGUUCAGCCUAUACAAUGCAUCCUGGUAGUACAAAGAUGUACCGCACCUUGAGGGAUCAUUAUGGCAUAGCAUAAAGAGAGAGAUAGCAAAAUUUAUUUCUCAAUGUUUAGUCUGUCAGCAUAUUAAGGCUGAACACCAGAGGUCUGUAAGGUAUUCUCAACCGCUUCUUAUUCCUGAAUGGAAAUGGGAGCACAUCACGAUGGAUCUAGUAGUGGGACUUCCAUGUACUCAGCAGGGACGUGAUAGUGUUUGGGUGGUUGUUGAUUGACUUACAAAAUCUGCUCACUUUUUACCAUUUAAAACCACUUAUUCGAUGAACAAGUUGGGGAGUAUUUAUGUGGCUGAGAUAGUUCAACUUCAUGGAGUACCUAUGUCCAUAGUCUCAUAUAGAGAUUCCCGGUUUACUUUUUAGUUCUGGACUAGCUUGCAAAAUGCUUUAGGCACCAAGUUGAACUUUACUACAGUUUUUCGUCCACAGAUUAAUGGUCAGCUAGAACGUACCAUUCAAACCCAGGAGGAUAUGUUGCGAGCUUAUGUUAUGGAGUUAAAAGGUAAUUGGGAUAAUUAUUUACCUUUGAUAUGUUAGCAUGUAUAUGUUCAUUAUAUUGAUUCUGAUGAUAACAAACUUUAAUGUUUUUUAUUAAAAUGUUGGAGUUUUCAGUAAUAAACAUUUUCUUAAAAGCCGUAUAAUAUUUCUAAAUGUGUUAAUGAAAUAUGGAUAAUCAUUAUUUUUAAAUCAGAAAAACAAUAUGUGUGAAAUUUUGUUAAAACUGUGAUUCUGGAAGUAAAGGGUGAACCGUUAACUUUGAAACAAUUAAUCGAUAAUUUUCAGAGAGGGAUAAUUCUUUAAACUUGAACCUGUUAGCAAAAACGAACAAGGCAAGUGUGUUGGGCAGGUUAUUGGAAUUAAACGGUGAACCGUUUAUAUCAAACGGCUAAUCGAUAAUUUUCAUAAUGAAAUUUUGUGCUAACCUUGAACCAUUUAAUAGAAACGAAUAAGCCUAUUUUGUUUCGCAGGCUACUGGAAAUAACUGGCGAACCGUUAACUUCAAACGGCUAACCGAUAAUUUUCAGAAUGUCAUUCUAUACUAAUCUUCAACCUUUUAGCAAGAAUGAAUAGUAGAAAUUUGUUUUGCAGGUCUCUAAAAAUUAACUGUGAACCGAUAGUGGCUAUCAAUCAACCAUUUAUUUGAAAUUCAACUGAACGGUCACUUAGACCAGUCAAAAUAGUAACCAAUAAUUGUUAAUAGUGAUCCGAUUUCAGGCAGAAAGUCAACAACGGCUAUUUUUAAACUCCAACUAUAAAUAAGCUCAAUCAAAUUCAAAUAAGGGUUGAUCACAACGUUAUCAUUGAGCUUCUAAUCGAGAAUACCACCUUCAUUAAACUUUAAAUUCAUUCUUGUUUCAUUUAUUCACAUAUUGGGUAUUGAUUUGUAAUCUUAUAUAUUGUGUGAGAGAAAAACAUAUUUGUAAUCUUUGUUUUGAGUGAUUGUAAGUGUUGGGAUACACUUGAGUUAAGAGAUUAAGGAUAAUCUCUUAGUGUAAAGGUUAAUUAACACCUUUGAAGUCAAUUGUAAGUGUUCUUAAAGCCUUGAAGGCUUAACUAGUGGAAUCCCCAAGCCCAAUGUGCUUAGAGACGUGGACGUAGACAAGGUUGGCUGAACCAUGUGAAAAUCUCUGUGUUUGAAUCUAUCUUCCCUUAUCUUUUUAUAUUUUGGAUGAUUUAUUUAUUAAUACUUUAAAUUCGUUUAAGAUUUGAAUCAAGUUUUGAUUAAGUUUUGGUAAUUUUUUAGAAACUCACUUCACCCCCCCUCCCUUUUGGGUUGCCUAGAUAUUAUUUCAUUUGGUAUCAAAGUAAGGUUCUCUUAUUAGGACUUAAAAAAUUCAUGGCAACCCAAAAUGAAUCUACCUUUAGGGAAGGACAAUCCACAACUAGGACUCUAUUCUUUGAUGGUAAUGACUAUCCAUAUUAGAAAACUAUGAUUAAAAUUUAUUUGAAAGCCUUAGAUUAUGAAAUUUGGGAAGUUGUUUGUGAUGGUUCAUUCAUGCCUAUUACUAAAAAUGAAGAAGGAGAUGAUAUUCCUAAACCGUCAAGUCAAUAGAGUGAGUUAGAAAAGAAAAAGAUAUCUUUAAACUCUAAGGCAAUGAAUGCUUUGUUUUGUGCUCUUGAUAAGAAAGAAUUUUAUAGAGUAUUUAGCUGUGAGAGUGCUCAAGAAAUAUGGAAUAAACUUGAGCUUGCCUAUGAAUGGACAAAUCAAGUUAAAGAGUCUGAAAUCAGUAGAUACACUCGUCAAUAUGAAUUAUUCCAAAUUGAACAAAAUGAAAGUAUGUAUUCUAUAUAUACACAAUUUACAGACAUAGUGAACACCCUAGGAGCUCUAAGAAAAACUUUUUCAAAUAACAAGAAAGUCAAGAAAAUCAUCGGAUCACUUCCAACAGAAUGAGACCUAAAAAGACAGCCAUUGAAGAAGCCAAAUAUUUAAAUACUUUACUUAUUGAUGAUUUAAUUGACUCUCUCAUUUCAUAUGAAGAAGAUUUGGCAGCAGAAAAAUAGCAUAAAAAGAAUAAGAAAAGCAUUGCUCUCAAAGAUUCAAAACAUGAGAGCGAUGAGGAAAGCGAGCUGGAUAAUGAAGAAAUGUUAUGCUGACUAGGAGAUUCAGAAAAUUCUACAAGAAAACUAGUGAACGGAGAAAGUUUAGAAACUUUAAGAACCAAAAAGAGAAGAAUGAGUCAAUCACUUGCUAUGAAUGCAAAAAGCCUGGACACAUACGGUCUGAAUGUCCUCUUCUCAACAAGCUCAAGAAGAAAGCAAUGGUAGCCACAUAGGAUGAUAGCGAUCAGGAAAUAAGUGAUGAUAAAGAGCACCAAGAAAUGACAAAUCUAGCUCUCAUGGCAAUCGAGGAAGAAUCAUUUGAUGAACUUGAUGAGGUAACUGAACUUCCAACAUAUGAUGAGUUACAUAAUGCUUUUAAAGAAUUUCAUGAUGAGUGAAUAAAAAUUGGUAAAAAGAAUGCAUGCUAGAAAAAGAAAAUGCUAGAACUUACAAAUGAAAAGGAUGCCCUAGAAAAAUGAAAUAAUUCAUUGAAUGAGAAGAUAAAUGAAUUAAAAUUAUACAAUAAAAUGUUGUAUAAUAAGAUUGCAUCUUUUAAAGGUAAACAAACUACCUCAUAUGAGCAUGAAAAAUCACAUGUUGAUGAAUUGGUAAAAGAGAAUGAAGUGCUUAAGAAGAAGAAUAAUGAGCUAAAUUAAUUGUGAUAAAAUUCACAAAUGGGUAAAAGAUGUUGGAUAACUUACUUAAUUCACAAAAAUAUGUGUUUGACAAAGAAGGCAUUGGCUAUAAGCCAAAUUUGAAACAGAAGUAUUAUAAGAAUUAUUUUGUAAAGAGUACCUCCAUUAACAAUCAAGUUGUAUGCCAUUAUUGUAAUAAAAAUGGUCACAAGAAAAAUAGAUGUACAGUAAAAAUAAAUGCAUAUUAUGGUGUGAAAUGUGUUCGAGGUCCAAAAAGAACCAUUACUAACACUUAAAGACCCAAGAAUAUUUUUGGUACCUAAAACUUAGAAACGUUUUCUACAAGGACAAAAGAAAAGGAAAAAAUAAGUGGUAUUUGGAUAGUGGAUCUUCAAGACACAUGACAAGGAAUUACUCUUGGUUUUCAAGUUUUACCAAGAUUGAAAAUGGUGGAAACGUAUCCUUUGGAGAUAACUUAAAAAGAAAAAUCAUUGGUAUCGAAAAUGUCGGUAAUGUAUCCUCUACUCUUAUUGAAAAUGUGUGUUUGGUUGAAAACUUGAAACGUAGUUUACUUACCAUUAAUCUAUUGUGUGAUAAGGGUUAUAAAGUUGUUUUUUAUAAGAAUAGAUGUGUUAUUGAGAGUGCAUGUGAUGGCAAGAUAUUUUUAUAGGAAAUAGAUAUGUUAAUGUUUAUACCAUUGAUAUAGAUUGUGCAUCUACACAUGAUAAAUGUUUUUCCACAUUGCAUGAUGAUGGUUGGUUAUGGCAUAAAAGACUAAGACAUGCAAGCAUGGAUUUAAUUUCAAAGAUUUCCAAAAACGAUUUAGUUAAAGAUCUUCCAAAAAUCAGAUUCCAAAAAAAUAGAAUUUGUGAAGAAUGUCAAUUUGGUAAACAAAUCAAAAUAUUUUUUAAAAGCAAAAAUCAUAUUUCUACUUUAAAAUCUCUUCAACUACUUCACAGACUUAUUUGGACCUUCAAGGUAUGCUAGCUUGAGUGGGAAGUAUUAUGAUUUUGUAAUUGUGGAUGAUUUUUAAAGAUACACAUGGAUAUUAUUCUUAUCUAAUAAAGAUGAUACUUUUAAAGUGUUUUGUAAGAAAGUUCAAAAUGAAAACGGAUAUGGUAUUGCAUGCAUUAGAAGUGAUCAUGCAUGAGAGCUUGAAAAUCAUGCCUUUGAAACCUUUUGCAACAAUUUAGGCAUUGUGCAUCAAUUUUCAAAGUUUUAAAAUCGUGUAUUGAUUAGAUUUCAUCUCAAUAAAACUCCAUAUGAGCUUUAGAAAUAUAGAAAACCCAACAUUGGUUAUUUCAAAGUUUUUGGAUGCAAAACACUAAUGAUAAUCUUGGCAAAUUUCAUCCAAAAUCCAAUGUUAGCACCUUUCUUAGGUAUUCAAACUCAAGCAAAGCUUAUGGAGUUUAUAACCAAAGAACUCUAGUUGUGGAAGAAUCUAUACAUGUUACGUUUGAUGAAUCUAACCCCUCAUUUGCAGAGAAAGUUGUUGUUGAUAAUGAUGCAGAUAAACAGAAGAGUUAUGUAGACAAGCGUAAAUGGGAACUUGAAUUCGAAGUUAGAGAUAAAGUUUUCAUACGGAUAUCUCCUUGGAAAUGAGUACUUCGAUUUGGGAAGUGGGGGAAGCUAAGCCCACAUUACACUGGGCCAUAUGAGAUCUUAAAGUGCAUUGGUCCGUUACCUUAUCGAUUAGCUCUACUGCCCGAUUUAUCUAGAAUCCAUGAUGUGUUUCAUGUUUCAAUGCUCUGAAAGUACAUAUAUGACCCAAGCAUAUGUUAUCGAAGUAACCUAUUCACUUAAAAGAAAACUUGACUUACAAAGAGGAACCAGUGAAAAUACUGGAAGGGAAAUACUAAGUUCUACGCUCUAAGACCCUUCCGCUAGUAAAAAUAUUGUGGAGGAAUCACAUAAAGGAAGAGGCUACCUGGGAACAUAAGGACUUAAUGCAAGCUCAGUAUCCCUAUCUUUUUUUUAUCAAGUACGUAAAUUUCGAGGACAAAAUUUUUAUAAGUGGGGAGGAUUGUAACAUAUGUUAAAAAAAAAUGAGGCGGUUAAAAGGUAAAUAAAAAUAAAAGAAGAAGCUUGAAAUAGGGGAACACAUACACAUAUGAGAGAGUGAGAAAAGUUGUAAAAUGACCCAAAACCCGACCCCACCCUUAAAAGUGACCUGGUCGAAUCUCGUGAUUUCGACUACUCCAACAGCCAAGCUUAAUACCAAUCUAAAGCUUGAACACCAAUAGUUGUAUCCCAGCCAUCACAAUCACCGAUUAAUGGCCAGAACGUCGAUGUUUUAGCUCAAUAAGCGGCAGUAAAACCCACCUCAUCUCACUGUCGAUUCUGCCAGUUUGGGGUGACACCACCAGCUAGGUUUUGUUCCCCAUAACUCCUUUUUUAUUUUCUGACCAUCCACAACUACCGAAAGUUUUCGAUUUACCAUGGUUCAAAUAUUAAAGUUACAUAGUUUUCGAACUAGAUUCCGGCACCAUCAUGGCACGUGCGAGCUCACCGUCAAUACAAUUGAACUCAGCUCGGCCAAAAGUGUCUAACUCGAGCUUCUCGAUUACUGUUGACCGACGAGGGCAAUUCGAUAAUUUAAUAAUUUGAAGGCAAUUUGUAAUUUUUGACCCUGUAAAGAUUUUAGUAAUUUCUAAAAUUGAGGAUUUGUUGUAAUUACGAUUUCGAGGGUAAUUCGGUGAUUUUUUAUUUUAGAUUAUUUUAAUGAUGUACGGAUUGAAGGGUAUUUUAAUAAUUUUAUCAACACGGGAGUUGUAUAUUAUGGACAGAUGUUCGUUUUGAGUUUAUUGCAUAAAUUCAUAUGUAAUUCUGAUUUACAAAAAUUAAUUAUGUCGUUUCCUUCAUACAGGCCCCCAUUUGUUAACGAUAAUCGUUUCGUUAAAUUAGUCAAAGGUUAAUAUCAUAAUUUCAUAUUAGUAAAAAAUUAAUUGACCAAAAACCCAUACACACACUUCACACACACGAACAAAACACACACACAUAGCUCCUCUCAGAUCUUGACAAAUCCUUAACGUACACACUCACACGGUUUGCCGAAAACUACUGCUGGGGCUGCCGCAAGCUGCUGGAUCUGCUCGCGCUACCGCAAGCUGCUGGAUCUGCUCACGCUUCCAUUGCGUCGAUCAAGAUCGCGUCUGGCUGCUGCUCGUGCGUCAUUGUUGCUCGUUCAUGUGGCUGCUGCUCGUGCAUCUUCAAUCCACGGUUCACUUCUCUUAAACUAGCUUUUCUCUCUUUAAUUUUCAUUUUUUUACUAAAUUAACUUUAUUUCUUUUUAUUAUGAUUCAAAAUCCACUAGAAUUUUGGGGAAUUUUUGGACAAUUAAUUAAUUUUCGAGAAUUUUAGACAAUUAAUUUCACCGAAUAAGUAGGCUUACCAUGGGCAUAACGCCAGAAGAUGACAAUGAUAGCUUUUCAGUUACUCAUUAUUCACCCUUCGGAAUGGCUUAAUUAUUUCUUUUUAUUAUCAUUCAAAAAGUUUCUGACCUGUUUGAUGCAUAUGUGAUGUAUAUGCGAGAAUAUAAAUAAAUCAUGAUGAGAUUUUUUGGUUUUUUUUUUUGGUUUAUGGUUGUUUGAUGAAUAUAGUUCUUAAUUUGUCUAGCUUAUUGGUGAUUUAUUGUGCUUAAUUUAUCAAUGAAAAGCAUGUGCUGGUUUGCAGAUGGUAACAAAUAAUGGCCUGCUUUCAGAUAAUACUACAAUGACAUCCUAACAAGAAUCAUUUCAAGCUGAGGUUGACUUCCAUAACACAGAUCCGAAGUCUCAACAGGAUUUUUUUUUUCAAAAAAUAUUAUGGUUAUCGUUGUAAUGUUUACCAAUGCCAAUUUGAUACAAUAUUAUGAUAGAAUGAUUAUUUGUUAUGUUUAUUGGUGGUUUUUAUGUCUAUUCGAUAUGUUAUUUAGUACAAUUAAGAUUUUGUUAACCACGUUUUUUAAUUUUUUUUAUUAUACAAGUUUAAAUGAUUGACAUAUGGAGAAUUGUUAUUCUUAUGGCAUUAAUAACUAAUUUUAUUUAUUUUUAUUCAUGAGUAAUGGAUUAUAAUUAUUUGGCUUGAAGAGAAUUUGAUAAAAAAUUUAUUAAUAAUUUUGUUAUAUGGACAAAAAUUUAAAUAGAGAAAUUGGGUAAUGAGGGUAUAUUCAUAAUUUUAUUAAUAAUAUAUGGACAAAAUGGACAAUUUAUAUGUUAGAAGGAUAUAACGGUAAUUACAUAUUAAAAUUAUCAUUUCUGUUAAAACUAACGGUUUCUGUUAACAAAUGAGGGUAUGUAUGUCUUUUUUGAAACAUUAGGGGGUUUUGUGUCCCUUUACUAAAAUUUGAGGGUGUCUGAGUCCUUUUCCCUAUUUAUAAAGGAGAUUUUACCAAAUUUUCAUAAGAAUUCUUACUAAUUAGAUUAUUAUCUAUUCAGUUUUGAUGCGAUUAGAUAGACUUGCCCUGAGGGUUUGGGUCGGGUCGUUUCACGCAUGCACGCAAGCGCGUGCGCACACUCACACCGGCCCAAAUACACAAUCACACUAAUCACCUAGCACAUCAUAUAUAUAUUUAUGUCUAUGUAUGUAACUCCAAUUUCAACAAAAAGUUAAUUUCAUAUUCCAUCCUAUAUACAUGAAACAUCAAUUAAAUAAUUUUAUUUCCCAGGGUUGGUGGGAAAGGGAAAUGAUCAUGUGACCUCUUGUUUUCACUAGAAGGGGACAAACCAAUUCGACUUAUUCCGUCAGAGAUACAAAAAGUUACUUCUUGCUAGUUAAUAUUCUGGUGACAUUAAAAUAAAAUAGUAACUAGCAUAUUUAUGGGCAAAUCCAAAAUAUUUAUGUUACUUUCAUAAAAUAUUUAAGUGUUGUACAAAUUUUAUUUUACUCAUUAGUUUCCCUUCUUUCUAUAUAUUAAAUACAUGUUAUUAUAUAACAAGUAACAAGAAUUAGUAGAAUUUGAUAUAUCUCAAUCUAAUCUAUUGACCCAGAGAGUGAGAAUUUUUUUAAUAUUGCCUAUCGUUGAAAUCACCUCCAUUUGUUGACUUUGUAUAUUUUCUAAGGGAUUCGCUUUGAUUUUCUUUAUUAUUUUGGAGAUCCAAUCCUUCAAGAAGCAAUUAUGCAAGACACUUAUAAAUAUGAUGAAUUUGGUUGCACACUAUAUGCCACUCAACACUCACUUUGGUGAAUAAUUUCUCAAAGCCAGCAAAAGAUGGCAGUGACUCUCAAAAAAGUUUUCCCAAUAAUUGCUUCCAAAUUAAUCCCCAAUGAUAUCCAGAUCUUCACAAAACGAAGUAUCAAAAGUGCCCCUUCUGACGUUCAAAUCAUUUCCACCGAAAGAGUCAAACCUUCACUUUCAACGGGGAAACAUCUUAGAACCUAUAAACUUUCAUGGAUUGAUCAAAUGAAUACUGAUGUUUACAUUCCCCUAGUUUUCUUCUACUCGACCAGUUGCAAGAACCAAGAUUUAAAAAAAAAGUCCGAUUUAUUGAAGCAAUCUCUCGCAAAAACAUUAACCCACUACUACCCUUUUGCUGGAAGAUUGAUUGAUGGCUUUUCGGUCGACUGUAAUGAUCGUGGGGCUGCAUUUAUUGAAGCUAAUGUUGGCUGUGAUAUAUCAAAGUUUUCAAAGUUUCUUCAACCACCACUGCUACAACAAUUAAUCCCACCUAGUCCCCAAUUGAUAAUGAUAAUAUUUGCAAUAACAAUAUCGUUUUAGAUUGCACCUCUCUGUUUCCGCCAGUAAAGUUCCCACAGCAGUAUCAGAUCCCAAGCCCACAAUCUUCACGCAAGAUUGUGUUCAAAAGAUUGUUGUUCGAUGGCAAGAAGAUAGCAACUCUAAAGGAGAAGGUGAAUAAAGAAUUAAUGGCUGAUAACAAUUCUGACGAUGACGUGUUACAAGCAACGCGUUUCGGGAUUGUUUCAGCACUCAUUUGGGGUGCCUGCAUCGCUGUAGCGCGUGAAAGAAAGAGGGCAAUUGAUAACAAGUUGCACUCUCAUUCAAUGUAUUAUGCUAUGAAUUUGCGUAACAAGAUCAAUCCACCAGUGUUUCCACGGUGCAUGGGUAACAUUACUCGACUUGUAAGGGCAGAAUGGUCACUAGCCGAGGAUGAUGCCAUAGAGGUAACAAGUUUAGUAAGAGAAGUGGUAAAAGCCAAGAGAAUGGGAAGAGAGGUGAUGAAUAAUGAUGAGUAUUUUGGUUUCAUUAAGGAUAUGUAUGAAGUAGGGGAAGAUUCAAGGUCAUUUCUUUUGACUAGUAUGGUUGGAUUGCCUUGUGAUGAAGUUGAUUUUGGUUGGGGGAAGCCUGUUUGGUUUAGUCUGGGGCCCAUAUUGUUACCUGAUCUUGCUAUUUUAUCAAGCGCAAGUGACAGUGAAGGAAUAGAAGCAUUGGUGGUAAUGUUUAAGGAGGACAUGGAAAAAUUUGAACAAGAAACUAGCAUCAUGGCUUAUGCUUCCCCUAACCCUAGCAUAUUUAUAAUGAAGUAAGGAGUUAAUUUUAUUUAUCUUGCUUUGAAUAAAAGAAUGAAUUAUAUUCUAGUUAGAAUAGUAAUAUGCUUACAAAGUUGAGAUUAUUGUACAAUAACUGUAUCUCAUUAUUUUCAUGCUUCUCUUUAAAUAAAAUCAUGUUAUGUAUGCAUACUUCGAUCAGCGAAAAACCAGCAAUCAUAUGAUGUGUGGGGAAUUAUUGUAUCAUAUUUUCUGAAGGCAGAAUUAUUUUAUCAUAUUUUGGCAUCAAAUUUUAUUAUAGGAUCCUCGUAAGUAGUUAUAUUGUGUGUGUGUGUGUCUAUAUAUAUAUAUAUAUACAUGCACACAUAUAUACAUACAUACAUACAUACAUAUAUAUAUAUAUAUGAAUCAACUCUUAAUAUGCGACAUAAAAUGUCUGUGAUGCCAUGUUGUGAAUGUUGGGGAAGGAUUUCUUAUUAGGGUUUGGAGAUUUGAAUACAAUUUUGAAAAAAAAAUUAGACAGAGGAGACAAAAGGAUAGGAUGAAAAGAAAUUGAAGCUCCAUCUAGAAGAGGAGAAAUUGGGCCAUCGACUUCAAAACUUACUGUGAUACAUGUAAGCUAAAUUAAUUUUAUGGAUCUCUUAUCAAAUAUAUGGUAUUGAGACACACAAUAGACUUUUAUGCAUACGGAAUAUCUAAAGUUCUAAACUCUCAAAAUUCAUUCAAAUGUACAAAUAAGAGAGUGGACUGAGUAUGAUUUGGUAAAUAGCCUUUUCUUACUAUUAUAGGCUUUGAUUAUACUAACCCCCGAAAAUUUAGCUUAAUAUAUAUAUAUAUAUAUAUUAUAUUUCUUAUAGAAAUCUAAAGUCAGUCAUUGGCAAACAAAUCGUAGUAUUGAAUCAAAUUUGCAUGAUAGAUUAAUAAUAUCAAAAUAUAUUUUCUAGAAAUAAAAUAAUUUUCAGAAAAAUUAUUUAUAAUACUUGUAUAGGGAUAGAUUCGGAUGGUUGCUUAUGAAAUAAUUCACUUUUGCUGGCAUUGACGAGAAAAUCAACUGGACAAAUGCAAAAGUUAAGGGUUUGAUAAAAUAAGCUACUGAAGUGAUGUAAGUUUGAAGAGUAGAGUGCAUACGUUUAAUGAUUAUUAUAAACACAUGAUGUCGUCCCACCAGUUUAAUACAGUUUUUCAAUCCCACCUACUCCUUGAAAAGUGGUACAUUUUAUAAUUACAAUAUGAAAAGUGGUACAGUUUUUCAAUCCCAACUACGCCCAUGAAAACAAAUAUAAUAACACAUAUACAGCAAUAAGAAAGUAGCUUCAUAAUUAAGCUUCCGUUUGAUUGAAAGGAUGUCAACGUUAUUUUAUCUGAUUCUAUGAUAAAUAAACAUAUGGUAACAAUUGAUGGUUAAUAAUAAAAAGAAAAACGAGUUUACAUUGUUGGGAUCAUCUAAGGUCAUGCACAAGAUCUUAUUACCAGAAAUGAUCGAUUUGUCCAUCAUUUUCCAUUCUGAUUGGCUUUUGAAAAGUCCAGGGGUUUCGUAAUAUUAUCUUUCAAUUUUAGUUUAAAAAGUCCUAGUGUUUCAUAUGAUAACCUUUCAAUUUUAAUUUGAAAUUUACCAAUUAAGCUAUCAAAAUAAGUCAAUUAAAAAAGUGCCAACAUUUUGAAGGUAUCUUCAAAUCGAGCUUUUCUGGUUGAAAGUCUUAUGGUUCAAGCAGCACUUUCAUUGUGUUGUGUAUAUUAAAAAAUUUCAAAGUGAGAAAGAUAAUUAGAUAUGUUUCUCACAUUUAUUACUUGGGUCCCUUUUUUUAAUUAUUCAUUACCAUUCUAUGUUAAAAAUGUAAGGGAAAAGGACAAAAACAUCCUCUUAGUUUGACGAAAUAGUCAUGGAGACUCUCUUAUUUUCAUAAAUAAUUAUACAAAUAAAUAAUUAUAUAAACCCAUUUUCAAGAUAGACAUACUCUUUCUUAUGUUUAGAAAUUGUCAUACAAAGUACAAACCGUUUUAAGACACAUAAACUCUUUUUUUUUUUUUUUUUGGUUCAAAAAUAAAAACAAAUUCACAUAGACCCUUAAGAUUUGUCAAGAAAAAAAAGUUUGUGUCCCAAAAGUUACCUAUGUGACCAUUUUUGAAAAUAUAGAGGUCUCUAUGACCAUUUCACUAAAUUAUAGGAGUGCCGAUAUCAUUUUUUCAAAAUGUAAUAAACAAGAAAAAUAUUUAUUUUUAUUCUUUUGGUAUUAUAACCUUAUUAUUACUCAAAUAUAUAAUAUUCAUUGUAUCAAAUUUUUGGUCAUUUUUUAUUGUAACACUAGUGUCACUGAAAUAUAAUAUGUAAGUCGAUGAUGUUGCUUGAUAUAUAGAAGUUAACUAGCAUUGACUUUAAUUCAUUGAUCCCCAGUUGCAAGUUGAUGGAUUUGUCCAUGUUACCAACUCAUAUAUUUUAAGUGAGAAUUUACAAAUUUAAAAGUUUAAAAGUUUAAAAGUUGCAUAUGUAAUUAAAAAACACUAGGGUUAUAUUCAAAAGUAAUAUAAUAAAGAGUUCCAAACUUACAAUCAUAUAUGAUGAUAAUUUAUUCGCAAUUAAAUAUGCAUGUACAAUGGUUGUCUUAAGACUGAGAAGCAAGAGUUUAGCCUAAUAGUACAUUGCCUUGUUAGAUAGAAUAAGGCUAUUGCUUGAGAGACUGAAGUAACAAGCAUUGACUUAAAUUCUAGUCAUAAUUCCUAACUAUGUGCGUAGCAUUACUCAUAAUUAUCAAUUUCAUUACUAUAUUUAUUCCAUCAAUUGAUUAUUCCAGGCAAACAAAUACAGCAGUAUUAUUAUAUUUAACUAAAUAAUAAUUUGCAUUGAUUAUAAGUUAAAAUUACUUAAAAAUAAUAUUAUUAUAUUAAUAGAGAAUUAAUAAAAAUUACUAUAUGCUAUCUUUAUUUAAUAAUAUAAUAUUAUUAUAUUUAAUAUUAAUAAUUAAUAAAAAUAAAUAGUUUAUUCUAAGAAAAUAUUAAUUUUGUACUAAAUAAUAUUAUAUUAAUAAAUAAUAAAUUUAAUAUAAUUAUAUUAAAUAAAAUAAAAUAAUGUUUCAUUUUAUAUUUACUCUUAUUUUUAUUACUGCUGUUAUAAUUAUAUUUAAUAAAUAUUUAAAUAAUAUUAUUAUAUUUAACUAAAUAAUAAUUGGGUUUGAUUCUAAGUUUAAUUUACUUAAAAAUAAUAUUAUUAUAUUAAUAGAGAAUUAAUAAUAUUAUUAUAUACCAUCUUUAUUUGAAAAUAUAAUAUUAUUAUAUUUAUUUAAAAAUAAUAGUAUUAUAUUUAUUUAAUAUUAAUAAUUAAUACUAAUAAAUAGUUUAUUCUAAGAAAAUAUUAAUUUUGUACUAAAUAAUAUUAUAUUAAUAAAUNNNNNNNNNNNNNNNNNNNNNNNNNNNNNNNNNNNNNNNNNNNNNNNNNNNNNNNNNNNNNNNNNNNNNNNNNNNNNNNNNNNNNNNNNNNNNNNNNNNNNNNNNNNNNNNNNNNNNNNNNNNNNNNNNNNNNNNNNNNNNNNNNNNNNNNNNNNNNNNNNNNNNNNNNNNNNNNNNNNNNNNNNNNNNNNNNNNNNNNNNNNNNNNNNNNNNNNNNNNNNNNNNNNNNNNNNNNNNNNNNNNNNNNNNNNNNNNNNNNNNNNNNNNNNNNNNNNNNNNNNNNNNNNNNNNNNNNNNNNNNNNNNNNNNNNNNNNNNNNNNNNNNNNNNNNNNNNNNNNNNNNNNNNNNNNNNNNNNNNNNNNNNNNNNNNNNNNNNNNNNNNNNNNNNNNNNNNNNNNNNNNNNNNNNNNNNNNNNNNNNNNNNNNNNNNNNNNNNNNNNNNNNNNNNNNNNNNNNNNNNNNNNNNNNNNNNNNNNNNNNNNNNNNNNNNNNNNNNNNNNNNNNNNNNNNNNNNNNNNNNNNNNNNNNNNNNNNNNNNNNNNNNNNNNNNNNNNNNNNNNNNNNNNNNNNNNNNNNNNNNNNNNNNNNNNNNNNNNNNNNNNNNNNNNNNNNNNNNNNNNNNNNNNNNNNNNNNNNNNNNNNNNNNNNNNNNNNNNNNNNNNNNNNNNNNNNNNNNNNNNNNNNNNNNNNNNNNNNNNNNNNNNNNNNNNNNNNNNNNNNNNNNNNNNNNNNNNNNNNNNNNNNNNNNNNNNNNNNNNNNNNNNNNNNNNNNNNNNNNNNNNNNNNNNNNNNNNNNNNNNNNNACAAAAAUAGGGGCAACUUGAAGUUUUCAAAGUAAACGAGUGGUUUGAAAUAGUUAAUUCAUGAGAGGGAUAAUCCAAAAUUUACCCAUUUGACAAAUACAUUUAUAUUCAGGUGGUUAUAUUCCACUCCACAAAUUUUAUAAAUCCACCCCAUUUUCAAAACUUAUUACAACAAGUUUACAUUAGUUUUAAAAAAAUUCAAAUUAAGAGAAAUUUUUAGAAAAAAUUAGUCAAUUAAAUCCAUAUUCAUUUUUUACACUAUUUUUUUAUUAUAUUUGAUCAAUAAGGUUACUUUAACAUAAAUUAAUAUGACUCUUUUACCCUCAUCAUAAAGUUUCAAAAUAUCUAAAAAUUUACUUUAGCUUGAAUAAUUUUUUUCUGCUGUACGGCCAAGGCGGAUGUACGGUACAGCAGAAAUAUAUUUUUUAUUAAUUUUGUAAUUAAAAACUAUAAUUCUUUAAAAAAGGAUAAAAUUGUAGUUUGAAACUAUUUACUCUCAAUCCAAGACAAAGUAAAUACAUAAAUUGGAUUCUGAUCUCCAUUUCAUGCUUCCAUUCCAGUGCAAGUAAACAAGCUACGUCUACUCCCACUCUACACUCCUAAUCCUAAAAUUCUCAUUUCUCAUGAUUUCCACUCGAAUCCAAAAAGUAAACGCUAUCUUAUAGUAGUGGACAUAGGGUGCUUGUUUUUAUCUCUUUACAGCCAAGGCCAUAAAUGAAAUUCUCACUAAAAAAAAUCAGGUACAGAUUGAAGAUAAGCAUUUAAAAUUCAGAUUUUGAAAUAUCUGAAGAUUAGAUAUCAAAAUUAAUUACCAUUAAUGGCAACAUAUUACUAAGCAGUAAUUCUAUGCAAACAACACCAUCUUAUUUUUUUUAUGCCAUGGGAUACAGCAAUGAACUUUGGCCAAAUGUACCAAUCACAUAAUUCCUAAUGAACAAUGUAAAUUAAUCAAAUAAUAUAAUAAAAUACUAUUUACUUAUAGGUUUGGAUGGGAUGAGAAAUCCCACCCUCUAAAUACCAAUAUUUUUUCAAUUACUACUCAAACUUUGUGACUGUGUAUUCACAACCAUCGAGCUAUGUUCAGGAGGUUGAUUAGUCUUAUCCUUAAGCUUACCUUGUAAAAUUAAAUACUCAUUUUUAUUUUACUUGAAUCGGUUUGUAUGGUGUUCUAUCAUACCUUAUGACGGAGCAUCGCCGCCAUAUCUUUCUCUUAAGUUUAAAUUUAAUGGAGAAAAUCUGAGAAAUGGAUUCUUCAAAUCACAUAUUUAUGGCACUAGACUCUGAUAUUCAAUAUAAAAUCAAAUUCGCUGUCUCCUCUUCUUCUCAGAAAGCAAAGGAAAAAAAAAAGGCUCUUGAGCUCUUUACUUGCUCCAACUUUUCUCUAGAGUACACGAAAUUCUGGCAAAAAAUUUACAAAAUAGAUAUGGAAUUACAACUAUUUUUUCCUCUACCAAAUUUUACAUUUAUUAGUAAAUAUAAGUGUGCCUUACUUAGAGCAAAAAAUACAUUGAUGUUUAAAAAACAUUCCUCCGUUGAGAAAAGCAAUCAUUUAUUUGAGAACUCAUAAUACAAUCGACGGAUCAGCGAUUUACCAGACUUAUAAGUUACAAUCUAUGCCAUGGAAUGCCUCUAUGGGGUUGAUGCUUGGUUUCUUCCAGCACGUCUUCUUUCAUGUACUGACUUUUGUUUAAGCCCCUGUAGCUCACAACUGAAGCUUUGUAGGACCAUGGUGCUCAAAUGCUAAACGAUUUUCUUCACUGAUGACCAUGCCCUAGGAAACGAUGGAUGGUUGAUGAGAUUCCAAUGCUUUUAUUACAAAAGCUGCUCUAAUGGAAGCUUGCAUUGUCAUUAGACUUUUAAAUUGUGAGUUGAGUAUUUGUUAGCACUUAACAAUCCCUGGGUUGCUAUUGAGUUGUAUAUUCUGUAUGCCACUGUCAACGAGUACUUGUUUUGAAUAAAAGAGUUGUUAAUUUGUAAAUUAUAAUUCUUCUCUCUUGUUCAAUUAUGAUUUUUUCUUUUAUAAUUUUGCUCACCUUCUACCUUUUAAAUAAAAUGAAAAAAAAUUAACAUUUCACAAAGAAAUUAUUCAAGAAUUCCCACUUCAUAUAAUAUCAAGGAAACUUUAUAUUUAAUCAACAUUGUAAGAAAUUGAUUUUUUAAUCCUUUAUCUCACUAUAAUUUAUUCAUGAUUGGUCAGUCAAAGAAAAUACUAAAACAAAAAUAUAAUGAUAAAAACAAAAAGAGUUAAUCGGUUAUUUAUUAAAUUAAGACCAAACUCUUUGUAAAUCGUUAAUUUUGAAUUAUCCCCUCAUAAAUUGACUAUUUUUAAAUCACCUCUUUCUUUUAAAAACCUCAAUUUAUUUCCAUUUUAUUUUGUUAAGAAAACCAAAAAUCAUCGAUUGAACCCUCUUUUUCUUUAUCUUUUGGACAAAAAUAGGGGCAACUUGAAGUUUUCAAAGUAAACGAGUGGUUUGAAAUAGUUAAUUCAUGAGAGGGAUAAUCCAAAAUUUACCCAUUUGACAAAUACAUUUAUAUUCAGGUGGUUAUAUUCCACUCCACAAAUUUUAUAAAUCCACCCCAUUUUCAAAACUUAUUACAACAAGUUUACAUUAGUUUUAAAAAAAUUCAAAUUAAGAGAAAUUUUUAGAAAAAAUUAGUCAAUUAAAUCCAUAUUCAUUUUUUACACUAUUUUUUUAUUAUAUUUGAUCAAUAAGGUUACUUUAACAUAAAUUAAUAUGACUCUUUUACCCUCAUCAUAAAGUUUCAAAAUAUCUAAAAAUUUACUUUAGCUUGAAUAAUUUUUUUAUACAAAUUUUUUCAUAUUUUAAUGAUAUAGUAGUGAUUUAUUUGUUAUUCAUUUAUUUUUUAAGACUAUUUUUUAUUAUAUUUAAACAAUAACGUUGCUUUAACAUAAAUUAAUAUGAUUAUUUUACCAUCAUAAGGUAAAAGUACCAAAAUAUCUAAAAUUUUGUUUCAAUCUUCUCAUCUUUAAUUUGAAUCAACUGUACAUUUUAAUUUAGAGUUUAAAACCAAUCCUUAAAGAAAUAAUUGACUUAUAAGAAAACUAUUAAAAAAGAGAGAAAGAGAACAAGAAACAAGAUACAUGUAUUUGGGAUUUUAGCAAAGAGAAAGUUAUUUAGAAUAACUGAAAUAACGGUAUUUUUGGAAUUAAAGAGUGUGUUAAUAGUCAUGAUGAAUUUUCUAAUAUUAUUUAAUAGGGUACACUUAAUAACGGGUUUUAAUAGGAUGUAAGAGGGGUGCCAAUAGCUCCACUCUAUAUUCUUUAUGAACCAUGGAAUAAAGUAAUGAAUUUACUUUGACGAAAUGAACCAAUCACGUUAUAUCAAAUGAAAAUUAAUAUUACAAUUAGUUAUUAAUUUUUUUUGUUUCAAUCACGAUGAGUGGGUUCCAACUGUGAGAGGAACCUUUAAGUCCGUACCACAACCCAUACUAAUCUCCGCUCGCACUGGGUCGGCCUAUAAGGGGUAAAGUACUGGCCAAAGUGGUGACUCCAUACGAGAACGGAACUUGAACCCCUGACCUCUCUUAAAAAAUAAGAGUGUCAAACCACUCACACCAACCAACUUUGGUCAGUUAUUAAUUUCAAUCUAAAAACCAAAAACCAAAACAAAUAAAUAAACGUCACUUUUCAACUCGUUACUUGCUCAAUCUUUCCUCCAAUUUUUCUCGGUAUGGAAGAAUCUUCUACAACUAAAAAAUUGCUUUUUCUUCUCGAGAAUGCACAAAAGUCUGGCAAAAAUUUUGAAAAUGGAUAUGGUAUUAAAAUUACUGUCAUUUGCGUCCACUAAAUUUCACAUCUAUUAGUAAAAAUAAGUAUGCCUCAAUAUCAAGAAAACUUCCAAUAUUAAAUGAAGCAAUAAUUUACUUAAGCACAUAUUGCAACAAAGUAAACCCAGAAUUAAUUUCCUUGAGCAUAUUAGCACGUUAGUUCAUAUAAUAAAGAAAUUCAUACAUUAUAUAAAUUAACUUUUAUAUAGUUGCAUGACACUUGUGUUAUGUUUACUUGUUGAAUUAGAAGUGGGGAAUAUGGUUCUUUCACUCUAUUCAUUUAAGGAGGAGAAUGAAAGUCUCAUUGGGUCCUACUCAUUAACAGUGAGAAAUUGAGAAUACACUCCCGUAUUUGUUUUUACUCUUCCCUUAUUAAAUAUAAUAUAAUUAUAUUUAAAAUAAUUUUACAUUUAUUUAAAAAUAAUAAUAUCACAUUCAUUGAAAUAAUAUUAUUAUAUUAUUUAAUAAUAUUAGAUUUAUUAAAAAUAACAAUAGUAAACUUAUUUAAGUAUAAUAUUAUUAUAUUUAGUUAAAAAUGACAAUUUACAUCAAUUCUAAGUUAAAAUUACUCAAAAAUAAUAUUACUAUAUUCAUAGAGAAUUAAUAAUAUUACUAUAUACUAUCUUUAUUUGAAAAUUAUAAAAUUAUUUUAUUUAUUUAAUUUUAAUAGUAUUAUUUGUAUUUAAUAUUAAUAAUUAAUGAUAAUAAAUAGUUUAUUGUAAGAAAAUAUUAUUUGGCCGUACAGCAGUUACGUAAUUGAGAAUAUUAAUAAUUAUUAUUAAUUUAUAUUGUUAAAAUUAAUAAUAAAAUAAGUAGUUUAUUUUACUUUUUUUUUUACUUUGUAAUUAAAAACUACAAUUUUUUAAAUAAGGGUAAAACUAUAAUUUGAAAUAAUUCACUCAUAAUCUAAUAUAAAGUAAAUAUACAUAUGGGAUUUUGAUUCCUAUCCCACACCCAUUACAAUGUAAGUAAACAACUUAUUCUCACUCCCAAUCCCAUGAUUCUCAUUCCCUGGGAUUCCAAUUCUAAUUCAAGUAGUAAAUGCUACCUUAAUACAUUUUGAGAUAGCUAGCAUUCAUAAGUCAACAUUAUAUAAAUUAACUUUAUACAAUUAUAAAUGCACAACACAAGAAAUUUAAAAAUUCAUAUCAACUUAAGAUUUCUUGUUUGAUGUUGUACCCUUAAAAAAACUUUAAAUAUUAAUAUCAACUUAGACCCUAUUUGGUAUGGUGGUUGAGUAGUUGUAACUUAAAAGUUAUGAUACUAAAGCGUUUAGAAAACACUAAUUAUUGAGGUUUAAUUUGCAAGUUAACUUGAUUUUUUCUCUAAUAAACUUCAAUCCAUUCCCCUGAUAAAGUGACAAUCUUUAGUUUAGCCCCUAAAAGUGCGAAACCCUCAUUUUACUCUUAUUUUCGUUCAAAAGAUGAGGACAAAUAGGGUGCGUUGAUAAAUAAUUAUUUUUUGUCUUCUUAAUAAUAAAUAAAGAUAAAUUGAUGUUUUCAAACUUUUGAAAUGUAAAUUAAAGAUUGUCAUUCUAAGUAGAUGUAAAUUAAAAUUUAUCCUUUUAUCCCACACUGGCAUGAUACCUAUAAUAUAUUUAUUACUUUUAUUAAAAUAAAUUUUUUAAAAAUCAUAUUUACUACAUACUAUCAACAACAUAUUCCAUUUCCAAUUUACAUAAUCUUCUUCAGUACUUAUCAAAGAAAAAAAAUCUUGAGUAAGCACAAACUUCCAACGUUACAUUCACUAAUAUUUUUGCUCACAAACUUCCAAGAACAUAAAAGCCCGCUACACAUACAUGCUUGGAUUAUUUAAGAAAUAAUAAAAUAAUCAAUUAAUGUCAAUGUUAUUAUAUAAAAUAAAAGCCUUUUGAAAAGAACAAGUAACAAGAAUUAUUGAAUUUGGAUAUAUCUUAAUAAGAUUUUUUGACUCGAAGGCGCUCAUUCAUAGUCAUAGUUUUUUAUAUAAAGAUCGGUAACAUAAAGCUAGCAUGUAUUUAAUAAUUCUUGUUACUUGUUCUAUAAGGAUUAACUAUUUCUUAAAUGAAUUUAAACUAAAGUGUUGAGUUGUGAUGAUCUUUUUAUAAUUUUUUUGUAUGUAUUUAUAGUAUUAUACGCCAUUAAUAUUUAGAUAUUAUUAGAAGAACUAUUAGCCAGCAACACAAGAUAAAAAGUAAAAUGAGAGAGCAAUAUAAUAUAAAGUGAUUUUACUCAUUCCAAAUGUAUACAAAACAAAAAGAUUAGCUCUUUUUUAUUGUUACAUAAUCACUCCAUGAAAUUAAUGGAAAUAUUAUAGAUCAUAAUUCUUUGUGAGAUAGUAGGAGUUAUAGAGAAGCCAAAUGUGGCUGGUGGGAGAUAGUAGGGAGACUAAGAGAUGUAUGUUAUAAACAUCCACAUUUAUUUUAAUAAAUUUAAAACACUCCCCCUUGAAUGUUCAUUACAAAAGAAUACGCUUCAUUAAAACCUUUACUAAAAAAAACCCUUAUGGGAAAAAAAUUAAUAAAGGAAAAUGAGUACAUUAUUCAUUGAUGUCUUGAAACAAAUAAUUUUGGAGAUAUAGAGAUAAAAACCUAGUGGGGAAAAAGGAGUACAACAUAUAAAAUCCCUCCAAAAUAAAUUAUUUUCCCCAAUAAGUAGACUCCAUGAUGCAACGGAAGUUUCAUGUUCAAAAUAUUAUGUUGAUUCUAGAGAAUACUAGAAUAAAGAACAAACUAAUUUCACAUUGAUUCAAAAUAAUACCACAAAUUUAGGGGACUAAGACUCGUUAAUUCCGAGAAUACUGGGAAUUAAUUAAACUAAAAAACUCACAUAGAGAUUUGCAAAAACUGAAAUAUUAUUGAACUUUAUUUUCCUUUCUAGUUUAGAACUUUAUUUUCCUUUUCUUUAUGGUUAGGAUAUUUAUACUAGUAGUAAAUAUCCUAACCAUAAAGAAAAGGAAAAUAAAGUUCUAAACUAGAAAGGAAAAUAAAAGUCUUAAACCUUUGUUAAUAAGGAAACAUAUUCUAAUAUAAUAUGGAUUCCUAAUUUGCAUCAUUCCCCCAGAAUGGAGAGAAUUCACCUUCAAAUUUGAAUUGUCAACAACAACAUCUUCAUCAUGAUCACCUUUGCAAGGAAUAAGAUGCUUGACAUUGAAUACAUAUGUAGCGCGGUUGUGACUAGGAAGCUUUAAUUGGUAGGCAUUAGGAUUUAUCUUCUUUAUAAUCUCCAAAAGUCCAAUUUUCCUGACAGAAAGCUUGUUGUUGUCACCAACUGAGAAUCUAUCUUUGGUUAGGACAGCCAAACAAGAUCUCCCACCUGAAAUUCUAAAGCUCAAAACCUUUUGUCUGCCUUAAUUUUAUAACCUCCGGUAGUCUUCUUCAAAGACUCUUGCGUAACUUCAUGAAUCUUCUGAAGCUGCUUAAUAAAGUCUUUUGUCUUGCUGCUUUUGCAAACUAAAUCUAGAACUAGAGUUAAGUCAAUGGGAGCUCGUGGAUUAUAUCCAUAAUUCACUUAAAAAAAGACUUAAACCAGUACUACGCUUAACUGCUGGGUUAUAAGCAAACUCGACUUGAUAUAACUUUUGAUCCCAUAUCUUCGGGUUAUCACCAACUAGACUAUGUAGAUGGUUUCCUAAAGAGCAAUUGACAACUUCAGUUUAACCAUCUAUUUGUGGGUGGUAAGUACUUUCAAAAUUUAGGCGAGUGUUAGUCAACUACCAUAAUGUUUUCCAAAAAUGGCUAAGAAAUCACAUAUCUCAAUCAAAUACUAUAGAACUCAGUAAACCAUGCAAUCUAUAGACUUAUUUACAGAAUAGACAAGCAACAGUCAAGGCAUCUGUAAUCUUCUUAUAGGCAAUAAAGUGAGCCAUUUUCAAGAAUUGAUCCACCACAACAAAUAUUGAAUCCAUACCCCUCUGAGUACGGGGUAAUUCCAAAAAUAAAUCCAUGCUAAUGUCGGUCCAAAAUUGUGUUGGAAUUGGCAGUGGCAUAUAUAACAAACACACACCCGCCCAUAUACACAAUCACACUAAUCACCUAGCACAUCAUAUAUAUAUUUAUGUCCUUGUAUAUAAUUCAAAUUUCAACAAAAGUAUCAAAAGUUAAAUUCAUAUUCCAUCCUAUAUACAUGAACCAUCAAUUAAAUAAUUUUAUUUCCUAGGGUUGGUGGGAGAGGGAAAUGAUCAUGUGACCUCUUGUUUUCACUCUAAGGGGACAAACCAAUUCGACUUAUUCCGUCAGAGAUACAAAAAGUUACUUCUUGCUAAUUAAUAUUGUGGUGACAUUAAAAUAAAAUAGUAACUAGCAUAUUUAUGGACAAAUCUCAAAUAUUUGUGUUAUUUUCAUAAAAUAUUUAAGUGUUGUGCAAAUUUUAAUAAAUAAGAUAUAGAUGCACAGCUUUCGGGUUCAUGGAAUUUGCCAAUGGACUUUAUUUUAUUUUAUUCAUUAGUUCCCCUUCUUUCUAUAUAUUAAAUACAUGUUCUUAUAUAAGAAGUAACAAGAAUUAUUAGAAUUUGAUAUAUCUCAAUCUGAUCUAUUGACCCGGAGAGCGACAAUUUUUUUAAUAUUGUCUAUUAUUGAAAUCACCUCCAUUUGUUGACUUUGUAUAUUUUCUAAGGGAUUCGCUUUGAUUUUCUUUAUUAUUUUGGAGAUCCGAUCUUUUCAGAAGCAAUUAUGCAAGACACUUAUAAUAAAUAUGAUGAAUUUGGCUGCACUACACUAUAUGCCACUCAACACUCACUUUGGUGAAUAAUUUCUCAAAGCCAGCAAAAGAUGGCAGUGCCUCUCAAAAACAUUUUCCGAAUAACUGCUUCCAAAUUAAUCACCAAUAAUGUCCAGAUCUUCUCAAAAAGAAGUAUCAAAAGUGCCACUUCUGAUGUUCAGAUCAUUUCCACCGAAAGAGUCCAACCUUCACUUCCAACGCGAAAACAUCUUAGAACCUAUAAACUUUCAUUGAUUGAUCAAAUGAAUUAUGAUCUUUAUAUUCCCCUAGUUUUCUUCUACUCAGCCAGUUGCAAGCACCAAGAUUUCAGAAAAAAAUCUGAUUUAUUGAAGCAAUCUCUCGCAACAACAUUAACCCACUACUACCCCUUUGCUGGAAGAUUCAUUGAUGGUUUUUCGGUCGACUGUAAUGAUCAUGGGGCUGCAUUUAUUGAAGCAAAUGUUGGCAGUGAUAUAUCAAAGUUUCUUCAACCACCAGAUAUGGAGCUGCUACAACAAUUAAUCCCAC